rnacentral:lncRNA from 1 species
AUAUAUAUAUAUGGGCCAUGGCUACUAAACUAUUAUGAGUAUUGAAGCCUUCAUACUCAUAAGUUGUUUUCGAGAUGGGGCUUCCGAAUCGACGAUCCACUCCGUUAAAUAUGAUCUAGAGUAUUUGAAACUUCUAAAAAAUAAAUUUCGUAGAUUUUCGAAAUCAUAAUAAAGUACAUCAAGUGGGUAUAAAAUAAACGGUCAAAAUCGAACAACGUCUUAAAAAAAGAUGAUCGGAUCCGUCAAUUCAAGAUCGGAGUUAUUGAUCUUUAUCUAUGUAGUGAAUAGAAUUUUCUAUCAAAAAUUCAACAAAUUUCGAUUCUUUUACACAGUUAAAAUAGCAAGUAUUCCAUACCGGCCGUUAAAAAUUGUCAAAUUUGUGACCUCUUGAUCGUAAGGUAAUGAUAUCGAAAAAUUAUAAAAUUUGAUUUCUAAAAAUUUUAAAUGCUGUAAAUAACGUUUAACAGUGUGGAUCGUCGAUUCGGAAGCUCUAUCAUCAAAAACAACUUAUGAGUAUAUAUAUGUAUGUAUAUAUAUGUAUGUAUGUAUAUAUAUAUAUAUAUACAUAUAUAUAUACAUAUAUAUGUAUAUAUAUAUAUGUAUAUANNNNNNNNNNNNNNNNNNNNNNNNNNNNNNNNNNNNNNNNNNNNNNNNNNNNNNNNNNNNNNNNNNNNNNNNNNNNNNNNNNNNNNNNNNNNNNNNNNNNAGAGAGAGAGAGAGAGAGAGAGAGAGAGAGAGAGAGUGAGUGGAGGAGAGAGUUUUUGCUGUCAAGAAUGUAAUGCCGAGUUUGCUCGUCGAACAGUGCUUUCUCAUUGUUGGUGGAUGUAGGAAUAUGCUCCCUCCCGAACAGUAGUCUUUAAUAAUGGAUAUACGACGAUGUUUGUAAACAGUAAGUCUUUUAAUGAUGGAUGUACGAAAAUGAUUCUGAUGUACGAAGAUGCUUCUAAAUAGUAAAUUUUUUAAUAAUAAAUGUAGAGAAAGAGAGAGAGAGGGCCCUCUACUUUAAUUGCACCUAUCCUUCGCCCACAAAUCAUGUGCGCUAAUAACACUUCCCAAUUAAAUUCCGCGAGUUCCAAUAAAGCGAGGUCUCCACAAUAUUCCAGAACAAUUAAGCAUCUUCCUCGUAUUUGGCUCGAAAUGACCUCGAGAUCGAAUCGCUCGUUUAGUAAAUGAGUCGAACAUGAGCUAAAUUUUUCGGCUCGUUUAAUAAACGAGCUGGGACCAGCUCGCUCGCGUUUGGCUCGAUAACAGCUCGAAUACAUAUAUUUUAUAUUUAUAUAAUUUAUUUUAAUUUAUAUUUAUAUAUAAACAAAUAAUUAUAUAUAUAAUAUAUAUUUUUAUUAUUUAAUUUUUAGCAAAAUAAAAAUAUAAAGGCGAGCUCAAUUAUAAAAAGACUCUUUUAAAUGUAAAGUUUCAACUAUUAGAUCGAAGUCUAAUUGAUAAAAUUUUAUAUAUUUAUUAUAUAUAUAUAUAUAUUCAACCUAAUCUUUUUUAACUUAUUGUUUAUUGGCCAACUAGUGAGCCAGCUCGUAUUCGGCUCAUUUAUUAACGAGCCGAACACGAGCUGAAUUUUUCGACUCGAUAUUUUAACGAGCCAGCUCGUACUCGGCUUCGUUUAUUAAACGAGCCGAACACGAGCCAACCCCAGUUCGCUCAUGUUCGGCUCAUUGACACCCCUACUACUGGUAUACCCCUAUUAGGAAACACGAGCCAGUCCGGGUCGCUGGCGUGCGGCUCGUUUACACCCCUAUCUUCCUACAUGCACUCACAAGCAUCUGUCACAUAUUUCUACCCAGAGCAUCUACUUUACAGCUCAUCGAUCGCUGUAAAGUAGAUUGCAGUUCAUCGAGCAUCUACAUGCGCUACCUUUGUCGUUGAGGUUGAUUGCAGUUCUAACUCAGAGGGCUCUCGAGAGCUCCUCCAACUUCCGCCCCACGGCUAUAAAAAGAGCUACUCCUCAGGCAUUAGAGAUCAUCGAGCGCUUCAAGAGCACUGAGAGCACCACUCAACGAGCAGUGUAUAGUUCUCCCUUGCUCCCCUUCUUUUCUCUGAUCCUCUUGUAAAUUAACCUUUUCUCCCUUAAUUUGUUUGUAAAAAUAUUUACUGAUCGUGUAAAGCCUUCCUCCUUCCUCUUCUCUUCGGGUUCUCCCGGAAGGGAACCCUUUUCUUAUAUCUAUCUAUAGCCAUAUAGAUCUUUAUAUAUGCUUUUUUUUAUUAAUUAAUUAAUAUAUUUCUUGUGUGUUCUUUCAUUCAUGGACCUUUCUUCACUUCACUCCCAAACCUUGAUAGAACCCUCUAUGAGUAGACCUGCAAGUGUAAUUGAUAGAAUAUUUAGAAAUAAAACACCACUAGAUGAUAAUGUUCAAUUAGAUAAAGAUAUUGAACUCUUUAGAAAACAUGGGCUAAAUUUAUUAAAUCCUAGGGUGUUAUAUGGUGAAAAGAAAACAACAGGUAUAACUUCUUUUUUACCAUGUCAUGGUAGAGAGAAAACAACAAGUAGAACUUGUUUUGUCCGACAUUAUAGAGAAGAAACAGUUUCCUGCUUAGAUGAUGGCAAAGCAAUCCUUAAUCUUGUUGACGGAGAAUUUAGAGAAACAUUAGAAAAGCGGAAACUACGUUUCAUGCAUAUUGGUUUGAUAGUUAUCGGAAUAAAAGGAUUAAUCCGUAAACAAUCGGGAACUAAAACAUUGUUAAUGACUUAUGAUGACCGAUUAUGCUAUACUUCCGAUGCAUCUCUAGGAUUAGCAGAAAUAGAUAUGAAUCUUAAUGGAGGAGAAGGUAUAUUUUAUUGUAGUCCAGACUAUCUUAUGGUAACAAAAGAAUUUAUUAAAUGUAUUAAAAUAGGAAUUCAGACAAAAGGCUUUGAAAAUAUGACAGAACCGAAUUUAUUAGUAUGCAUAGGAUAUAUUGGAAAAUUAUCUGAGACAGGUUGGGCAAAUUUUACACUUAAUGUCGAUGGUAUUGUAAACCUCAUAAGUAAUAGAGGCAUCAAAUUGUUAAAACCAUUGGCAAUAAGUUUCGACCAAAAUAUAGGAUUAGAAUGGGAUUUAGAAAAAUUCGGUAAACAUAAAAAAGUAUUAGUACCAACUGACAAAGACCAAAAUGCAGGGUUAGAAUGGGAUUUAGACAAAUUCGUUAAACAUAAUAAAGUAUUAGUGCCAACUAACAAAGUACUUUGUAAAAAUACAGAAAGACGAAACUUGAUAAGAUUCACCGAAGACGAACAAACAUAUGAUAAAAGAGAAGAUUUUCCAUCUAGAAGAGAUUUAAAUCUUCAAACCGAAGAUCAAUCUACUAGCACUAUUAAUAAUGAGUUCAAUCUAGCAAAUAUAGAAUUCUGUCAAGACAACACGAAGAAUUAGAAGAUGACGAGUUAACUCCCGAAGAGAAUUGUUUAAGAGGUCCUUAGACUUACAUGGAUAUAGAAGAAAAGAUAGUACCAAGUAGGGUUUGACACUAUAGUGUUUUUCCUUCUACUUACCUUUUUAGUUUUUUUACUACACAAUGUAAUCCUCACUCACACCUAUUUCUUUACUCUUCCUAUCUCUUCUUAUUUUUGAGUUCCUAAGUACUCUAUUUUCUCUUAUCUUCAUCUUUUGAAAUACACAUAGAUUUCUUCAUUUUACUUGAAGUAAUAGCCUGCAUUUUUACUCCCUUCUUAUAUUUUGUUUCAGACCUCUUUUUAUAUUUCCUCUUCCAGUACCUGUUAGACUAUUUUCUAUUUUUGUAAAAAGAAAAAACAUGCCCUUAUUAAUAUUUUGGUAUCAGAGCCUAAAAUUCUUAUCUUUCUAAUGACUCCAACCACCAUAGAUCCACACAAUUUCCAACACCUCCAAUAUCUAGAUCUUAGAAUCCCUUCAAACUCAAAUCAAAAAAAUUAGAAGAGAGAAUUGCAGCUCUUUCCCUCCAAUCACAAUCACUAUAGUAAGUAACCUCUAUGUCACUCCAGCAAUCUCAGCUAGAGGCACAAGGAUUCGACCACAAGUAAAACCUACUCCACAAGAACCAACUCCUCUGCAGCUCCAAGGCUUCCCAUUACCACUCAUCCCAAUAUUUCCUCAAAUACAAGUUGGCCCACAAGCCACGUAAGCAACCAACCGAAGCAAAACAAAAGGUGACACGUGUACACCGGGAGGCGAAGAGAAGAAGGCCUAAACGGAAUAGCAGUUUAGUGGCCAAUGAGGGUUGGGCCAAAAUAAUAAAAGCCCGAAGCCCACACCAAAAAAAAAAUAAAAAAAAAUAAAAAAAAGAAAUAAAAAAAGAAGGCAGAGGAUUCGAUUCUCUUCUCCUCCACUUGACCGCCAGAUCCAGGCAAUCCCGCCGGGCCGUACGCGAAUCCUGGAGAUCGUGAGGGUACGCCCUUCCCCCCGGUCGGAUCAUGACGAUCCUGUGAAGCCCGCCGAAUCCACCAGAGAUCUGCCCCGUACACAGAUCCCGCGAAUCCCGCGCCCCAAAUCUCACCAGCGCACCGUCUCGUUACUCCGCGCCGCUCGCUGAGCCGGAGAUCCCGCAAAUCCCGCUAUCCCGUACGCAGAUCCCGGAGAUCACGCGUCGGCCGCCGUCAGUCGCGUCAGCGAAUCUCGAGGGCCAUGCUGAAAAUCUCGCCAUUGUCGCCGCUCGCGAGCCCCGUCGACAUCACUGUACACAGAUCCCGCAGAUCUAGCCGCGGAUCACGUCGAGCCAUCUUAUCACCGUCGAUCACCGGUGGAGAUCUGGGGAUUUGGUUCCUCGGAGCCCCUAUAAAACGGCGUCGGGGAGAGACGAGCGAAGGGGGCCCAGGGCAUACAACCCAUCCACACAUACACAGGAAGAGAGAGAGAGAGAGAGAGAGAGAGAGAGAGAGAGAGAAGUAACNCGUCGGCGCUCAACUCGAGGUGCCGCCGCCGUGCCAUCGCUGACGCCGUCCGCUGCCAUGCCCGCCUGUUACGUCGCCCAACGCCGGCCGCUGCUCAACCCGCUAUCACCGCCUGCCGUCGACAUCGCCCAACGCCGCUGCCGUACCCGCUACCGUUGCUCAAGCCGAAGCUGAAACACAACCCCCCACUGCUUCAGAGCAAGAAAGAAGAAGUAAAAGAGAAGAAGGGGUAGAGUUUCCUUAAUUUACUAGCAUUAUAAUGUAUCCAAUAUAAUGUUGUUUUGUUAUCAACAAAAUUCAAAACAAAAUUACUAUGUGUCGUGCUUUGAAUAAAAACAAAAAAAAAAAAAAUGUCUCAUUUGCAGUUAAAUUUUUUUUUUUUAUUGUUAUUAGUAUUAUUAUUUUGAGCUUCUUGAUCGAAGCCUUCUUCUUUUCUUUUUUACAUAAACUUGAUUUUGUGGGGAUUUCAAAAUCAUUCGUGGAAGCCUUAUUAUUUUUUUUAUUUUUUUUAAGGACAUAAAUUAAUCGAGAAUUGGAAACUAUAUUUUGUGCGCAUUUGUUUAUCUUUUCCUUAAGUCAAAAACUACCAAACACUCAUAAGUGUUAUGCAUCAUAUCGUUAUCGGACUAGUGAAGGACCCGUUUGUUGCGGCGAAACGAUUAUGUAGAAAUAAAUAUAUAAAUAAAAUAAAUAAUAGUAAAAAAAAAAGGUCAAAAAAUUGUAUAAAAAAAUAACUAAAAAAUAAACAACUAUUGCUGUAAUAAAAUUAUAAGAAAGAUUAAAAAAAUAAAGACAAAAAUCAUACUAAUAAGAAAUUAUAUAUAAUUAUAUUUAUAAUUAUAUAUAUUAUAAUUAUUAUUAUAAUUAUAUAUAAUUUUUAGAAAAAUUGAUUUAUUGUUCUUACAUUUUNNNNNNNNNNNNNNNNNNNNNNNNNCAGAAAUAAAUAUAUAAAUAAAAUAAAUAAUAGUAAAAAAAAAAGGUCAAAAAAUUGUAUAAAAAAAUAACUAAAAAAUAAACAACUAUUGCUGUAAUAAAAUUAUAAGAAAGAUUAAAAAAAUAAAGACAAAAAUCAUACUAAUAAGAAAUUAUAUAUAAUUAUAUUUAUAAUUAUAUAUAUUAUAAUUAUUAUUAUAAUUAUAUAUAAUUUUUAGAAAAAUUGAUUUAUUGUUCUUACAUUUUGCCUCUAUUCUUCUUUCAUCUAUCUUAUCUUUUUAUUUUUAUUUUUUUUUACUUUUUUUAUGUUUUAUUUUUAAAUUUCCUUCCUUAUUUUUUAUAUAUUUUUAAUAAUUUUUUUAUUCAGCUUAAUUAAAAUUUAUAUUGAAUACAAAUAAUUUAACUUAUUUAAAAAUUAUUUAUAUAUUUUAAAUUUUUAUAAAAAUAAAUAAAAAUUUAGAUUGAAUUAAAAAAAUUUAUAAAUUUUUUUAAUCAUAUAUUAAGAGAACAAAUAUAUAAAAAUAAUUAAAAAGAAAAAGUAGAAAGAGACAAAAAGAGACAAAAAAAAAAAUCCCUUCUCUCUCCCUCUCCUCUUCCCUCAGCUGGGCCCCGCCCUCUCCUCUCCUCUCCUCUCCCGCUCCUCUCCCCGUGCCACGCGGCAGCCCGCCGAGCGCGCCCGCCUGCUGGCGCCCUGCGCGCCCGCCCCACGCGGGCCUGCCUGCCGGCGCCCCGCGCGCCCGCCCCACGCGCGCCCGCCUCUCCCUCUCCUCUCCCUCUCCUCUCCCCGCGCCACGCGGUGCCCCGCCCCACGUGCCCGCCUACCUGCGCAGCCCGCUCGCCCGCGCCACGCGGCGCCCGGCCACGCACGCCCGCCGGCACCUUGACUGAUGAGCAGUAUGCAGAAUGAUCUCUAGUGCGAGUGUGAGCAAUAUCCGACUGCGUAUGACAUGUGGGAGGCUCUUAAAGCAAAAUUUGGUACAACUUCGACUUCAAGGUUGUGCAGUUUGACUAUGCAGUUUGACAGUUAUAAGAAGCGUGCCGAUCAGACUAUGAAACAACACGUGAGAAUAAUGUCAAACAUGAUUCGCGAGUUAAAGUCGGCUGGCGGCACCUUGACUGAUGAGCAACAGAUCCAAGCUAUGAUUCGCUCCUUUCCCAAUUCGUGGGAACAUAUGCGAGUAAAUUUUACCCAUAAUGAAAAUAUCAAAACUUUUGAAGAUGUUGCGCAGUAUCUGGAGUUGGAGGACGAGCGCCUUGAGGCUGUUAAAAUUCCAACUGCCAAUGCUGUUGAGUCAAAUUUUCGCAGGACAUCUGGGUUCAAGCGAAAGAGAACUACUGGGGCUCAAAAUCGUAGCGGAUCCGCGUCUAAGAACCCGAAGAACACUAAAAGAAAGAGAAGCAAACGAGGUGGUAAGAAGGACAAGUCAAAGAUGACUUGUUUCAAUUGUAAUCAUGUCAUGUCCCGAGACCGAUACCAAUUUCGGCCGGCCCAAGCACAUCAAACAGACGCCGAAUGGACAGAGUUUUUCCUGUCCGCCCAAGGCUCAUUACAUGUACAUUUUUAAAAAGAAGUGUACUAGCGGAAACAUACACAAACGGCUUACACGAGGGUAAGCAAUAGCCAUGAAUGAAAGAAAGAAAACUAAACAGCUAUACGAGUACUAUGAUUCUCUUUUGAUCACAUACAUGUAUCCAUUUCAUCCAACUUGCACAUUCAUGAUUCUUUACAUUGCUUGUAUCAUUUCUUUUACAUCAUAUUUGCUCAAAAUAAACAUUACAUUUUUUUCUUUCUUUGCUUUAUACAUCAACAUCUUAAAUCAUCAAAUACAAAAGAUGAUAAAAGGGUAUACUACUAACAAAAUGUAAAGCCCGACUCGGGUGGCCACUGUCUAGGGUGUGAUACCUUUACCGCGGUCGCUCGCCGGCUCGCUCGGUCCCGUCUCUGUGGAAUAGUGGGGUUAGAACUACAACGAAAUUCUAAGUGGGUUCGGCCCCAAUCUCACCGACUUUUCCACUAGGACUAACUCAGGCAUAAUAGAAAGGAUAAGCAGAAUAGUAACCAAACUAUAAUUAUGAUGCUAAUAUGCCUGAACAAUAAAACAGGAAGUAUGCUCAAUGUAAAUCAUGCAAGUAUGCAAGUUCUUUGUUCUUUACUCUUUAUUCUUUAAACUUUGUUCUUUGUUCUUUAAUCUCACGGCUAACCCGGGGGUUUCGCCACAUUAACUUGCCCACAUUAAGUCCAUCAUCGCCGGCCCUCAGCUUCCUCCCGCUAAAACCGUCCUGGGGUUUACUCCAACCCGUAAUGCAAAACUCCGGAGCGCAUCGCUCGAGGGGGAGCGACCGCCCUGGAGCACGAAACUCAUAGCAAGUAUGAUCGAUCCUUAACUCUAAGGAUAUAUAGUUCAAUCAUUGUCUUUACACUAACUCUAGUGUUCUUUACAUCACUUUAUUUUGCUAACUCUAGCAAUCAUUAUUCUUUAACUUUACUCGUUCUUUAUGCCACUUUCAUUUUCUUUUCUUUUCUCUAAUCAUUAUCAUUAUUCUUGCGUCACAUUUCUCUUGAUGCCACACACUAACUCUAGUGUCACAUUACUUUGUUUUGCUAACUCUAGCAACCAUUGUUCUUUAGCUUUACUCAUUCUUUAUGCUACUCGAUCUAUGUUUUAUUGUGUCACUUUGUUCUUUCAUCUCAUUGGACGCUCACAAUACAUCUCAUGCAUACAUAUAGGGUUGGAUAGGUUCUUAAACAUUUCAAGUAGCACGUGUACUCACAUCAUGCAACAUUCACAUAUAUAACAUCUCAUCUACCCUAUAAUGCAUGCAAUAAUAUAGACAUAUACUCAAUUGAAUGACACAUUAGGCAUAGAAGGAAUUCCAACGAGUUUGGAUAGCACCACCCACCUUGUAGGCUUACUUAGGUGCUUCGGUGAUUUUCUUGGGAUUUUUAGCUCCUUAGUUUGUCACCUGCGGCAAAACGAAGUCCUAUUAGGCCAUUUUGCUCAUAUCUUUACAUUGGCUUUUCGUAACGUUAAUUCGAGCACACCAACGCGUCGGAAAUACCCCCAAUUAGGUUUCUAAAAGGUCAAUCUCACUUUGAAUCCCUCGCAAGCAAAAGCCCCAAUUUGGGUGCCCUAGCUCAUAACAUAAAUCAAACUUAGGGUUUGAUCUCUACAAGAAGCAAAAGAAGCUUCAAUCUACUCUAGAGACUCCAUUAAAACCAUUCUUAGUUUAAUCCAAAUCCUAGUUUGGGUUCUACCAUGAGAGGGGUGAAGCUCACCUCUAAGCUUCAUCACACACACCCAACCCAUGGUGUUGAUCUCAUUAACAAGCAAAAUAAAGCUUGAAACACUUAUUAGGCUCAACUAAAACCAUUUUUAGGUCACUUAGUUCACAUUCUAGGGUUUUACCAUGAAUAGGAUUCAAGCUUACCUCUAAGCUUGCUCCUAGGUUGCUCCAAAGAGGAAGAAGAGGAGGUGGCUUCACUCCUUAGCUUCUUCUUCACCUUCUUUCUCCUUUUCUUCUUCUUCUUCUCCUUUCUUUUCUUUGUCUUCUUCUUCUCCUUAUUUUCUAGAGAGAGAAAGAGAGAAGAGAGGGAGUGUGAGGGAGAGAAUGAGAGAAAUGUCCCAAACCCCUCAUAUCAUAACCCAUAUAUUGCAUAAAUGCAAAUAAAUCCCUCAGCUUUUAUCUUAUUACACUGCUCAAACUGGGUAGAUUUCGGGUUCGGGGACCGGUCUCCCCGACUUGGGACCGGUCCCAGAGAGCUCUCCCCGCGGGCAGCAGGGCGCACGCGCGAUGCAACCGGUCUCUCACUGGGGGACCGGUCUCUCGGGGACCGGUCUCUCCCCGCACGGACCGGUUCCCGAGAGCUGGUUUUCUGGGACUUAGCCGAUUUUUAGCUUUUCUCAUUUCUCACGCGUUCGGGGACCGGUCUCUCCCACCAGGGACCGGUCCCCGAGAGCUCAAAAACUGCAGUUUGCAGAUUUUUGAUUUUUAGCUCUCGAAAACCUCCCAUAAUGCACUUUUGAUCAUUUUAACACCUUCGGACUUUCCGAAGUAUACCAUCCUCACACUUUGGUCAAUUUGACUAAAAUUCGAUAUUUAUUUUUCGAAUUUUCGGUAUAUUACAAAUCAGUUGGGAUACUUCACUCGUGAUUGCACUGAGCUGAAGAAGGUACAUCUCUAUCCCGAUUCUCGCUCUUUUGUUUCUUCUAACACGUUUGUUGCUGAAUCUCUCCCUGUGUGGAUUGUAGACUCAGGAGCAACAGACCACGUAGCGAGGGAUCGGAUGGGAUUCGUCGAGUAUCGUCAUGUGCCUGCUGGGAGCAGAAGAGUAUACAUGGGGAACGAUUCAAGUGUCGAUGUGUUAGGCGUUGGCACAUGCAAGUUGAUCAUACAAGGUGGUCGAACUUUAUACCUACAUGAUGUACUCUAUGCUCCAGGAAUUCGGCGGAACUUGUUUUCUAUUCCUGCUAUGCUACAGUUAGGCUUUUCUUUUCGUUUUGAGAGUGAUGUAGUUCAGAUUCAUUUUGGAACUAUUUAUUAUGGGAGAGGUUUUAUGUCAAAUGGUUUUAUGGUUUUGGACAUUGAUUAUAAUAUUAAUAAUAGUGAUUCUUUUUUCCUGCUAUCUUCUGUUGAGAAUGAUCACAAUAUUUCAAUUAAAUGGCAUGCACGUCUUAGUCAUAUUGGGCAGGAUAGAAUGACUAGAUUAGUUAGAGACGGGUUAUUGAGCUCGCUCACUAAAGUCGACCUACCCAUAUGUGAACAUUGUUUAGCGGGAAAAGCGACCCGAAAAUUAUUUAAUAAAGCUUCUAGGGCAGAAUUUUCUUUACAAUUGAUCCAUUCCGACAUUUGUGGCCCAAUGAGUGUGAGGGCAAGACAUGGUGCUUUUUACUUCAUCACAUUUAUAGAUGACCAUACGCUCUUCGGUCAUGUUUAUCUGAUCUCCCAUAAGUCUGAAGUAUUGGAUUGUUUUAGACGUUAUAAUAAUGAGGUUGAGAAUCAGUUAAAUAUGAAAAUUAAAACCUUAAGAACUGAUUGAGGCCGCGAGUAUCUAUCUCAACAAUUCAAGGAAUUGCGUGAUGAAAAAGGAAUAAUCAGACAGCUGACAAUUCCUGGCACUCCGCAGCAAAAUGGUGUAGCGAAGAGAAGAAAUCACACUUUACUUGACAUGGUUAAGUCAAUGAUGGCGCAACCAAAUUUGCCUAUCUCCUUUUGGGGAGAUGCAUUGUUAAUUGUUGCCAACAUUCUUAAUCGUGUACCCUCCAAAAUAGUACCUUCCACUCCUUAUGAAUUAUGGACAGGCAGGAAACCAAAUUUGGAGCACCUGCGUCCUUGGGGUUCGGCAGCCUAUGUGCACAACACUUCUCACAAGCAUGGGAAGUUGGGUCAUAGAGGAAAGAAGUGUAUCUUUAUAAGAUACCCUCAACACUCUAAGGGAUAUGUGUUCAUCGGAAAGCAGCCAGAUGGAAGUUUGACUGAAAUUGAGUCGCGGGAUGUUGAAUUCCUCGAGGAGGAUUUUCCUUAUAGAAAUGAGGUUCGAAAUGAAAUUAAGUUCCAUGAGAUGGAUGACUCUGGUAUUGGCACUUCUAGCUCAGUUGAGGCAGAGGAGGCAACUCCGAUACCUCCUGGGGAUAGUGGGAGCGACUUACCUUUAAAUAAGAAGCCUCAACUUCGUAGGAGCACACGUGUGGGAGUCCCCGUCGUCGUUUUGAGAUUGAGGGGGAAGCUUUCAUGAUUGCUGCACAUGAUGAUGAUGAGCCUAGAUCUUUCUAAGAGGCUCUCUCAUUACCUACUCAUAAGGAAUGGUUGGAUGCAAUGAUGGAGGAAAUAUAAUCGAUAAAGUCAAAUCAUGUCUGGGACUUGGUUGACUUGCCACCAGGGCGCAAAACAAUCGGGAAUAAAUGGGUUCUCAAGAUUCAGCGCAAAGCAGACGGUUCUAUCGAUAGGUACAAGGCUCGCCUGGUAGUAAAGAGUUUUAUCCAACGAGAAGGCGUUGAUUACGAGGAAACCUUUUCUCCUGUUGUGAGGUUUGCUUCGAUCCGCCUAAUCUUGGCUAUUGUCGCAUAUUUGGAUUUGGAACUUUACCAAAUAGACGUUAAAACUGCAUUUCUCAAUGGAGAACUGGAUGAGGAGAUCUAUAUGGAUCAGCCUACCAGCUUCUCUGUAAAGGGUGAGGAGCAUAAAGUUUGUAAGCUCCGACGAUCUAUUUAUGGAUUGAAGCAGUCCUCCAGACAGUGGUAUAUUCGAUUUCAUCGAGCCAUCGCUGAAGAUGGGUUUAUGAUGAUUGAAGAAGAUCACUGUGUGUAUGUUAAACGGUCCAAAGGAUUUUUUCUAAUCCUUUCCUUAUAUGUUGAUGACAUCCUAUUGGCCGGGAAUAAUAAGGAGAUGAUUGUCGCCACUCAGACGUGGCUGUCCUCUAAUUUUGAAAUGAAGGAAAUGGGUGAAACGAAUUAUGUGCUCGGAGUUAAGAUCCUACGAGAUCGUUCAAAGAAACUUUUAGGUCUGUCUCAAGAGACUUGCCUAAGAAAAGUUUUAGAACGAUUUCAGAUGCACAAUUGCAAACCCAUUGACACUCCUAUUGGUAAGGGUGAGAGUUUGAAUCUUAAACAGCGCCCUAAAACUUCUGAAGAGAAGGAUAAGAUGAAUCGGAUCGCAUAUGCUAAUGCGGUCGGGAGCCUGAUGUAUGCUAUGAUGUGUAUUCGGCCUGAUAUAUGCUAUGCCGUGGGCCUGCUUAGCCGUUUUCAGUCCAAUCUGGGAUUCGACCACUGGAAGGCUGUUAAAAGAAUACUUCGUUACCUCAGAGGUACGAUAGAUUAUAUGUUGUGCUAUUAAGGUACGGAUUUACGUCUCAUCGGUUAUAGCGAUGCGGAUUGGGCUGGUGACCUAGAUGAGCGUAAGUCGACCUAAGGAUAUGCAUUCUUACUUGGCAAUGGCGCCAUAACUUGGAGUAGUAAGAAACAGACCUGCAUAGCUCUUUCCACCAUGGAGGCGGAGUUCGUGGCGUGUUCUGCAGCAGCCUAGGAGGCUAUCUGGUUGAGAAGGUUCCUUCGAGAUAUUGGGAUUGUCGCUUGUACUUCCGUUCCUAUGACGAUCUAUUGUGACAGUACGGCAGCGAUUGCAUACACGAAGAACCCGAAAUAUCAUGGCAAGACAAAGCAUAUCGACUUAAAGUAUCACUUUGUUCAUGAGGCAGUGGAGCAGAAGGAAAUAAUCCUGGAACACAUCUCUACGAGUCGCAUGGUGGCAGAUCCUCUGACUAAGCCUAUUGUUAGAGAAUCUUUUUUGGCUCAUGUUAAAACUCUUGGACUCCGUAGGAUUUGAUUGUGUAGAUAGUCGAUUAUUUUUAGCCAUUUUUUUAUAAUUUCUUGGUUAUUUAAUUACAAAUUAUUAUUUUGGCAAAGAUAUUUGGUGAGAUUAGUACACAUGCAUAUAUUUCCUAUAUUGUUGUAGAACUGAUUGAUAGUAUGUCACAGGCUGAUUGGCCCAACUCACACGGGCAAUCAUUCUUUUCGGCGCUGUAGAGAGCGAGCAAAAAUUGAGGCAUUAAUGAAAGCCGCCUUGGUUGGCACCAAGAUGAGGUUAUUAAUGAGACCGUAUACGAAUAGUCCGACGAUUCAUAUGGCCUGUAUAUUAAGAGCCGAAUGUGAGAUCACCGUUUGACGCUUGAGAUAGCGAGCAAAUAGAGAACUCAGGCUAGACACUCCGGGAGUGACUGAGCUAAGAUCCGUAUGACAUUGAGAAAGACAUACGCUUAUUGGGAUUCUCUGUCAUAGCAUGUAUGUCAUACUACAUGUGCUGGGCGACUAAAUAAAGAAGAUGAGUGAAUAGAUCCCUGCUUUCUCAUCGUGUGAAUUCUUACCGGCAUUAUUUUGAGACGAUGUCCUGUCACGCCCUGGGACCGGCGGGGGCCCUCCCGGUGGCGUGCCUAGACCCGCCAUAUGUCUACACAUAUAAGGUGUCUACAAUAAAGCGGAAGUAAAAACAAGAAAUAGAACAAAUAGAAUAAUAACAACUAACAAUAUCAGAGCGAGCAAAGUUCUAUCCUCUAAACCAGAGUAAAGGAAAUAUACCAAGACAAAGAAAGUAAAACAUAAGUUGAUACAAUACUAACUCCUCAAAAGAAAUACCAAGAUCCAAAAGAAAGGUGGUCUCUAUACAUAUACGGGUACAACUCUCAACCUCUCACAAAAUAAAAUAUAGAGAGGUAGACCACCUAAACUCGUCCCUCGCUGAAGGGCUAACUCGAAGCGACGCCCUUCCCACGGUCCCUAGCCUCUCCCGGCGUGGAAGGCUCUGAAAGAAAACAUAAAACAGAGGGCGUGAGAACUAUAAUUUAUAGUUCCCAGUGGGCAAUUACUGACCUCAGCUCAAUGCACCACUAGGCCCCAAAAGAAAAGGGUAAGUAACGACAAUAAUAAUAAGCAAUAAAGAGCGAGUACAAUAACUGCUGAAAGAAAGCAUAUAUGAAAUGCUAUAUUACUAUGUCUCAAGUAAGCAUGAUGUAAGUAUGAUGUACAUCUACUCUAGCAUAAACAAGUACGUCCGAUGGCAACAAGUAAACGCUACUGUCCAAGAUGUCAUGCAUAAAGAAUGAGCUCUAUCAUGCGACCCAGUAUACUAUGACACAAUGAAUGAAACAGGCAAGUAUACUAUAUGUAUCCCAAUGCUAUGUCAUGAGCGUGUCAAGUAACCCAACUACUAAGCCUAUCUAGCAGUGAUUAUUCAUUCUUAACACCGUGUCGAUUUUCAUUUCCAAUUAAGGACCUACCAAAGGUAGUCCAGCUUGUGCCGCCUAAGUGCCUGUGGUAGCCCGACAUCCCUACUCUUGGAAUGUGUCUGUCCCACUCGACCCCGUAGGCUUCUCAAUACCGCACGAGCGAACAUAAGUCGCGUAGGCUAACUCCGGAGUGCCGGCUUGUAGGGAGCGACCCUCACAAGCAUGUGCGAAUGAGCACAAAUGGCAAACAAGCAAGGUCAAAGUCUCAAGUACUCUACUCUCAUGCCUCUCACAUGGCAAGGUCACUAGCAUCCCAAGGAUCUAGUCCAAAGUCUCAAAGUGACGCUCCAACGCACACACUUGCUUAGUGCCUCUUUAUGACACUUAAGCAUCACAACUAAUCAUGCCCAAUUCAUGUUCCAUAUUCCAAUUAAAACAAUACUAGCAAGGUUCACUUUAGCCCGGGCCCAAUGCCUCUUUAUGACAUUGGCCCAAUCUCUCAAAUAGUCUAAGUCCUCAAGCCUCUCUAGGCUUCCAAAAAUCCCUAAUGUCACAAUUGGCAAAUAAGCUAAAUGCAUGAAAGCAAGGUUCAUUUUCAUAAUAGGGAUCUUAGUUUCAAAUCUCAACCAGAAUGCUAUAUCACACAUGCAUGCUCUCUACUACAUAGAGGCCCAAAAUUUUACUAUAUGCAACAUAGGCAUUUUAAGCAUUCUAAAAUUCACAAUAAAUACAUAUAACAAGAAUAUGCAUGCUUUUUCAUUUUAUAACACUUAAAUCGUCAACAAUGAGAUUUUCUCAUUGAGUGGCUAGGUCAAACCCACCGAACCGUCGCGUGCUCCUUCGAUUCGCCGAACGGAGUUGUCCACGAGUCUCAAAAUACCCUAAAAGUAUUGAGCGAAGAGAUACACGGGCAUUACGAUCAACUAUAAGAUCAAACUUUAACAAACUUGGCAAAAGGGCUAAAACUCACCUAAUGUGUGGAAAAUCUCUCUCAAGCUCCAAAAGAGAGCUAAAUCCCUUCCAAUCCAAGCCCAAGGAAGGUUCUAAUCCAAUCAAUCUAGCCUCAAAAGCCCUAGAUCAAAAAGCCCCAAAAAUCAACCCUAAUAUCCAUUCUAGGGUUCCAUAUGGUAAAACCUACCAAAUCAAGGAUCAAAGGGUAGAAUCCAAGUACUAACCUCCCAAGAUGCCUCCAAACAAGCUCCAAAUCUUCUAGGGUUGAAGAUUGGUCCACCACCAAGCUCUACAAGCAAGCUCCAAGCCAAGCAAAGGUGGAAAAGAGAGAAAGGGGUUGAGGUCCAAGCUCCCUCAAGUAAGCUCCUCUUCUUUUUCUCCUCCUUCUUCUUCUUCUCUCUCUAGAAGGUGUGGGGUGAGGGUGAGAAAUGAGGAGGGAAGAGAGGGAAAUGGCUAAUAAGCCCAUCUAGUGUAACAAAAUCCGGAGAGGCCCCUCAAAAACUCAAAUUUACAUCAGCCUGAACUUUGCAGUUUUCGCCCAGAAGGAUCAGUCUCUCCCCAGCAGGGACCGGUCUCUCGCUGCGAACCCGAAAAAUCAACGUUCGGGAACCGGUCUCUCCCUGUGCGGGACCGGUCUCUCACUGCGUAGGCGCGCUCGGGGACCGGUCUCGCCUGCCAGGGACCGGUUGCCUCAAGGCUGCCGCAACACUGCUCACUGGGGGACCGGUCUCUCCUUUCAGGGACCGGUCCCCGAGAGUAAAAACUCUCAGGACUUGUCCCGAAUUCUAGUUUUCGAACUUUUUAGGUCGGAAAACAUUCUACAAUCCUCCACCAAGUGUGGAAAAGCUCGAAAUAUAUCCAAACACUGGAACCUCCAAUUUGCAAAGGUCCAGUGUGCUACAUGUCCUAUAUAUAUUAGAUGCCCUUAGUGACUUCUGACUAUGUCAUUAAGUGAAAGAAUUGAUGUUGCUACUUUGGCAUGUUUCCUACCGCUAUGAGUGAUGCGGCUUUAUGGGGCAUUGCUGGGAAAGCAAUCAGUUCUCAACUCAGUGGCAUGAGGGCUCAAGGAAGACUAGUUAAAUUACAUUACGACACUUUGACUCAUUGUCGACAGGUUGUAUCGCUUCAGUAUAGCGAAACAAUCAUGGGUAUAGUGUCAUAAUGUGCGCAAUUGCGGUUAGCAUGACUCUUUGAGGGAUUAGAGAUGUUGAACCUAAUGUAAUUCAAUGGUUUAGGGCAUCAUGAGUCUAAUAUUUCUUUUUUGAGGGUUGAUGUCUCUAUGCUGGCCGUAUGCGGUUUCUAGUAUAGAGCUCCCAAAAUGCAAGUUGACUCGGCGAUAGCACUGUUCAUUUCCCUGUAUGAAUAGAAUUAAUAGUGGUGUAAUGUUGAGGAAGUGGUUACGACGGCAUCGGCCCCGCUAUGUGCGAGUGGAAGAUGUUGGCAUUUGGUUAAAUCGAAUCGAGUGCGCCCAUAAUCGGGCUCGAUCCGACGGAUAUUAUGUUAUCUAAUUGGAUUAGGAUUAAUCUCGUUUUCAAAUUGGAAAGCUAAUUAGAGAUAAAUUCUAAUCAUAUUAGGAUAACAAUUAAUAACCGAUUUGGCCUUAUCUCUUACGCUAUUAGGAUUUUAGAAUCCCUUAUAAAUAUGCGGGCGAUCCUACAUAACGGAAGACACAGAACAAGAAACAGAGAGACUAAGAAUACAAAAGAGAGAUACCACAUCCUCCAUUAACCUAUUAUUUUAGAGGGACAUGAGCGGUGGAUUUGCGAUCGUGCUCGUUCGUAGUUCGAUCCACCGCGAGUUCGGAGCGUUAGAAGACCUUCAAGGACGAUCCAAGGACACGUGAAUCAAUCUCUACGAUCCGGGCUCAUCGCGUUGUAGCGCGAAUUGCUUCCGCCAAAAGGUACGAACGAAUACUUCCGCUGCAUUCUACAACUCUUCGAUAUCAUUUGCAUAGUAUUCAAAUAGCCUUCGAAUUAACAGUUUUUAAUUGAUAAUAUAAGGUGAGUUUAGGAGCGUUUGGUUAUGGGUUAAAAUGUAUAAACACCCUCUAAACUUUCACCCAUUUUGAACGACUGCAUAAACUUUUUUUUAUUCAUUUGAUUCGCACACCUCUACUUAGUAACCAUUAAUUUAGCUUCUUCUAUCAGCAAUUUUGGAUAUUCUAUUAGAAUCAAAACAAGAGCCCAUGAGAGAUGCACGUCAUCUCCUUUCAACUGAAAUAAUUUUUUUAUCACGUGUGCCUCUUGUGAGCAUUUUAUUUGGAUUCUAACAGAAUUCCCAAAAUUGCUUAGAGAAGAAGUUAAAUUAAACAGUUAGAAAGUAGAGAAAGUGAAAAUAACAUAUAUAUGUAAAUGAAAAAAAAAAAACAAUUUAUGGGGUCAAUUUUCAAAAGAGGUUAAAAUUUAAUUAGGGGGGUGUUUAUACAUUUCAACAUGAAAUAAAUGAUGCUUUAAAAUGUUCCAAAAAUCCAAAAUUGUCAACUGUCAAUUUGAAUGCUCCUUAGUCCAAAAUAAAGUAAAGAUAAGUAGCUCCAUUCACCUCUAAUAAAAGCAUUAAUUUUUAGCUUUUGAUAAGCUAUGUUGGUCUGAUCCUCUGUAAUAACGCUACCUCGUGGCCCUUUUAAUUACAUGUGUUUGUUACUGUACUAUAGAGUUGGAAAAUCUUUCUGAUCUUUUAAUAAAAUAAUAAAAAUAAUUCAAAAGUUUAAUUGUAGUUUUAGAAAAAUUUUGAAAAAAAAAUUAAAUAAUAAAUACUAUAGAAAAGAGAAUUACAAAAGACCUAUAUAUGGAUUAAGAUGUGCAGAGCACUAUUCUAGGACCGAAAUUGCAUCUCCACAUGCGAGACUUCUCGGCAAUUACUUCCAGCGAUACAACAUCGACGUUCCACCCCGUCGGCACGUUUUUAAGGUGGCGCAAGAUAAACAAAACAAACUUUAGAAAAUCCAGCAAAAUAUUAAAAAGCUCAAUGAAAAUCAGCGCAAAAGAUCAAUAGCGAGAAACAAUAUAAACAAAGGUAGGGAUUAGGGUUUUGCUCUCAGGUAUUGUAGUACCCUUGGCUUUGAGUUCGAGACGUUUUGCGCAAAAUAGACGUAAAAACGGACUUUGAAACUCAAGAUUUUUUUAUUGUAGAGGACUAAAGUGGAAAAUCUAGUUGUAUAGGGGCUUAUGGGCAAUUGUUUUUACUUAGUCGGUGGAGUCCACGUGGUCCUCCAUUCUCCAUCCUCAUCCUCUCUUUUUGUUUUUUUGUUAUUUAUAUUGCCAAGUUGUGAGCUAAUUAAUUAGCAGGGUAGCAUUGGGUUCGUUCGUGCGAGCGAUCAAGGCGAGCGAGCAAGCGAGCGAGUCAAGUGCGCGCAUCGUAGUAGCGCCGUUGGAGGCCGGGCGAGCGCGAAAUUUCUUCUCCUAUUGACUUCUCGCUGUCGUGAAUUAGCUGUUGAGGUGGGUUUAUCAUGGGAAUCCUACUCCUAUAGUAUUGUUGGUCGACAUGUAUCGUUAAUAUUAUACGUUGUUAUUGUUUAGCUCAAAUUCAUGAGUAGGUAUGUGUUAGACAUAUAAACUGAAUUGGGAGCAUGUUAUUAGUUGUUAUUAAUCAUACAUGUGGGACUUGGAUAAAACAUAGGAGAAAACCAGCGUUCGGGACCUGACAUAUGUUGAACUACCUGAUUUAGCCCUUGGGGUCGUUGUAUUUUUAUACUGUUGCAGUAUCCUUAUAGUGAGUAUCCCAGGUAGUUCAGAUUUCAGUUACGCUCGUGCUGGGAUGCCGAGCCGAUUUUACAGUAGUGUUUACAGUGUUCCGAAUUAGUGGGUGCCGUAGUGGUUGACGGCGGACCCGGAUUUGAUCGUUCCGAUAUCAGAUUGUGCCGAGGACACAUGGCUAGGGGUUGGUAGUACUUUUAGACCUGUUUUCUUGGCUUUAGCCUGUGAGAGCCUGAUUUAGCUCGACAGAUAUACGCUUGCAUACUCGGUUGGGUCGCGCCCACGAGUGUCGCUCCGGAGUCUGGCUUUGUGCUUUCGCAUUGAUGUCGCUGAUUAGUUGCUAUCCAUGAACUGUUUAGCGUGGAGGUAGCACGGCUUAGACAGGCGGGACAGGUGCGUACACAGUCCCUAAUAAGAUUGUGUUAGAAUUGAUAGUAGACAUAGUGGGAUAGUGUAGUGGCAUGUAGCUGUGGAUUUCUUUCCGGGUUUACCUUUUAGCCUUAUUUCCUACUGUAGUCUUAGUGGGUGAGCCGAUGAGUUUGAGGGCGGUUCCCACUGAGGACUACUUGUUUUACAGUAGUUCUCACGCCCAGUUGUUACCCUGUGUUUUGCAGAGCCUGCUGUUCCGGCUGCUGCGUCUUCAGAGGCGGAUCGAGGCAAGGGCGUCGCGAGCUAGAGCCCUACCCGACGAAGCGCCAUGCUAGAGGACCACCAGCUGCAGGUAGUAGUGUUUUUAUUUUGUGCUUAUGUACAUAUUGAUGCUAGAACUCGCUGGAGCGAGUGUUUUUGUACUUGUUAGUUUGUAUGUAUAUGAGAUUUGUUCGUUCUACCUGCUUAGUUCUCUUUAGCUCUACACUACUAUUUGUAGUAUUGUAUAUUUUACUGAGACAGCUAUCGCUUCGUAUAUAGGAAAAAUUUCUUUGUAUACGGUGGAUUUGUCGGCGUGCCUGGAGAACGUGUAAUCCGGGGCGUGACAGAUUAAGUUGGUAUCAGAGCUUAGCAUUAGGUCAUUGAGACCUAGGAAACCUAAGUUUGGCAAACCUUAGGAAAGCAAGACGGGAGAGGCGUGAUUUAUUGCGAAAUAAUUAUUAUAACUCACCCUGAAGGGAGUGAGUGAUUGGAGGAGUGCCUGUUCUGGCCUGCAAAAUUAUGUUUGCUGCAGACGACAUAAUUUUGAGGAGAAACAGGGGCUGCCUUCCGGACUUUCGUUGAUUGGGUCGAGAGUAUUUGUGUUAUCUGACCAUGUUCUAUUUUUGCAGCUAUGUAUCGUCAUCGAGGCCGACCAUCGACACGGGACCGGGCACAGUUGACACAGGAUCGUGUGGGACCCUCCCAGAUGCCUGAGCAGGCAGAAGCCGAGUGCUCGGCAGGAGCAGGGUACACGACCAGAGACAAGCGCAUUUCCCGAUUUGGGUGCUCAGUUGGCCGCUCUGACAGAGGUGACGAGGCGGCAGGGAGAGUUGUUAGAGAGGUUGUGUGAGAAGGUCACCCCGCCACAGAGUAUCGUACCAGAGCAGAUUGUUCCACCUCCGACUGCUCCAGCGGCAGCACCAGCUAUAGUAGUACCACCACCAGUGACCGUUCCUUCAGUGCCAGUUGCGCCGGUUGGUGAGGCAUCGCAGAUGACCAAGGCUGAGCAGGAGCGGAUAGCUGAGAGACUCGCUCGCUUUCAUCGUUUCGAUCUGCCGACCUUUGAUGGCCGAUGCAUAGAGGCUUGGGUUGUUGAGGACUGGGUCAGCUCGAUGGAGAAGUUAUUUGAGGAUCUUUUCAUUCCUGAGCGGGAGUAGGUACAUCUGGGAGUGCAUUGCUUGACAGGGGAUGCCCUUGCUUGGUGGCGGAGAGUGAGGAGAGAUUACCAGUUGGUGACUUUGCAGAUGACAUGGGACGAGUUCUGUGGAAUGCUGUAUGGGAUGUAUUUUUCAAACAGUGUGAAACAGAAGCUCGAGGAGGAUUUAAAGAAGAUCCAGCAGGGGGACCGAACAGUACAGGAGUAUAUUCGAGAGUUCACGCGACUCCUGAACUGUGUGCCGUUUGUGGCUAGAGACGAGGCACACAGGGUGUACCUUUUCGAGCAGGGUUUGAGGCCCGAGAUUUUUCGGCUGGUUCAGGUGCAGAGGUUGAGGACCUUCGACGCGUCGAUGGAGCAGGCACUUUGGGUUGAGAGAGGUGAUGUAUCUAUUCGGGAGAUGACUCAGGCUGCAGGGCAGAGUCAGGACAGGAAGCAGUCAACUCCAGAUAAGGGUGGACAGUUGAGCAACCGGCGUCCGCCGAGACCUCCAUGGUCGCGUUCUCAGGGUCGUGGGUUCUCAGGGCGUCAGCGUUCUGGGGGAUCGCGGCAGCAGAGGCAGUCACAGGGAUUACCACCAUGUGUGAUUUGUGGAGGACCGCACUGGGCCCAGCAGUGUGAGCAGCGUGAGGGCCGAUGUUUUGGAUGUGGACAGCCGGGACAUAUGAGGUCUGCUUGCCGCCGAGCAGCAUCACCAGCGCCAUCGACCGCUUCAGCAGCAUCCGGAUCUCAGCAAAUUUCUGGAGCAUCUCAGAGUUACCGCCAUGAGGACAAGGCAUCUGCGACGCGACAGGGUGAGCGGCAACAGCAGGCUCCGAGUGACAGAGUAUAUGAAGCCCAGGUGGAGGACUCUUCAGCAGCCGACCGGGUGGUGGCAGGUAUUAUUUUGAUUUCUGGCAUUUGAGUCCGCACUCUUUUUGAUACCAGUGCAUCUCAUUCUUUCGUUAGCCGAGCAUUCGCGUUGUUGCAUGGUCUAGAGUUAGGAGCUUUGUCACAGGCACGAGAGGUGCAGAUCCCCGAUCAUGUAUUACAGGUUACCGAGUGUUGUUGGUCGUGUCCGGUGUAGUUGGAUUCGUGGAUCAUGCCCGCAGACUUGUUGGUUUUAGGGCAGCUGCAGGACUUCGACGUUGUGCUCGGUAUGGAUUGGCUUGCACAGUACUAUGCUACUAUCGACUGUGGAGCGAGGACAGUGACGUUUCGCGAGCCAGGCCAGGAGUAGUUUACUUUUAGGGGCUGCAGGAGUACGCUGUUCGCUACUUGGAUAUCUUCGGCGAUGGCUCGACAGUUGAUGAGUAGAGGAUGUGUCGCGUUUUUAGCGACGGUAGUAGAGGUACCUACAGCAGCGCCGGGAUUCGAGGAUAUCUCUGUAGUCCGCGAGUUUCCGGAUGUGUUUUCCCCUGAGUUGACGAUGAUGCCGCAGGAGAGGGAGAUUGAGUUCAUGAUUGAUGUGGUUCCCGGAACUGCACCAAUCUCGAAGAUGCCUUACAGGAUGGCACCGGCAGAGCUGAGAGAGCUAAAGGCGCAGCUUCAGGAUUUGAUGGACAAGGGAUAUGUGAGACCGAGUAUAUCGCCUUGGGGAGCGCCGGUGUUAUUUGUAAAGAAGAAGGAUGGUUCGCUCAGAUUAUGUGUGGAUUACCGGGAGCUGAAUAAAGUGACCAUCAAGAACAAGUAUCCCUUGCCGCGCAUUGAUGAUUUGUUUGAUCAGCUGCAGGGAUCUUGUGUCUUCUCGAAGAUUGAUCUCGAGUCAGGUUACCACCAGCUGAGGGUGAGGGCCGAUGAUGUUCCCAAGAUAGCUUUUCGGAUUCGGUACGGGCAUUAUAAGUUUACCAUGAUGCCUUCUGGAUUGACGAAUGCCCCUACCGUAUUUAUGGAUUUGAUGAACAUAGUGUUUAAGCCGUUCUUGGAUAGAUUUGUGGUAGUCUUCAUCGACGAUAUCUUGAUUUACUCCUGGAGUGAUGCUGAGUAUGAGGAGCACUUAAGGAGCACUUAAGGAUUGUGCUACAGCUUCUGCGAGAGAAGAAGCUGUAUGCCAAGUUAAAGAAAUGAGAGUUUUGGUUGCGGGAGGUCGCUUUCUUGGGCCACGUGAUUUCUGCAGAGAGAGUAACAGUGGACCCGAAGAAGAUUGAUGCUAUUCGGGAUUGGCCCACACCGACGACGGUGACAGAGGUGAGGAGUUUUCUUGGACUAGCAGGAUAUUACAGUCGGUUUGUGGAGGGCUUUGCGAAGCUUUCCACACCCCUUACCAGGUUGACACGGAAGGGGAUUCGAUUUGUUUGGUGUGAGGACUGCCAGAGGAGCUUCGACGAGCUGAGACAGAGAUUGAUGUCAGCUCCUAUCCUUGCUCUCCCUGUGAUGGGGGAAGAAUUCGUGAUCUACAGUGAUGCAUCGCACAGUGGACUAGGUUGUGUGCUGAUGCAGCAUGGUAGGGUAAUUGCUUAUGCUUCACGAUAGUUAAAGAAUUAUGAGAAGAAUUACCCUACGCAUAAUUUGGAGCUUGCCGCGGUAGUCUUUGCUUUGAAGCUGUGGUGGCAUUAUUUGUACUGUGAGCACUGCGAGGUUUUCACCGAUCAUAAAAGUCUCAAGUAUCUGUUCACUCAAAAGGAAUUGAAUCUCAGGCAGCGCCGGUGGUUGGAGUUACUGAAGGACUAUGAUAUUAGUAUUCAGUAUCAUCCCGGCAGGGCGAAUGUAGUGGCAGAUGCAUUGAGCAGGAGUGCAGCGCAGAGCUUGAGUUUGUUGAUCACUCAGCAGAGACCGCUACUUGAGGAGCUACAGCGGCUGAGGCUUGAGGUGGUGUCCCUUGGGUCCACAGCAAGACUGAUGUCUCUGGUCUUGCAGCCCACUCUGUUUGAUAGGAUCCGGGAGAAAGAGAGUGGAGAUCUGCAUUUGUUGAGGAUUCGAGAGCAGUUAGAUAGGGGACAGGUGGAGGGUUUUGCCUUAGACAGUUCGAGAGUACUGCGGUACAGGGACCGACUGUGUGUGCUUGUGGAUUCUAAGAUCCUAGAGGACAUCUUGAGAGAGGCUUAUUGUUCACCUUAUACGGUUCACCCUGGGGAAACCAAGAUGUAUAAGGAUUUGAUAUAAGGAUUUGAAGGCACAGUUUUGGUGGAAUGGGAUGAAGAGGGACAUUGACAGAUUUGUAGCUCAGUGUCUACCUUGCCAACAGGUAAAAGCCGAGUAUCAGGUACCUGUUGACAAGCUUCAGAGUCUGUCAGUGUCCGAGUGGAAAUGGGAGUAGAUCACGAUGGAUUUUAUUGUGGGGUUGCCUAGAGCACAUGGUGGUUAUGAUGCUAUUUGGGUGAUAGUGGACAGACUGAAUAAGUCUGCUCACUUCCUACCAGUUCAGACUAUCUGGUCUAGAGAAAGACUCGCGCAGUUGUAUCUGGAUGAGAUUGUCAGGCUACAUGGUAUACCAGUAUCGAUCGUAUCAGACCGGGACCCGAGGUUUGUGUCACAUUUUUGGAGGAAUUUACAGACAGCUUUGGGGACUCAGUUACAUUUCAGCACAGCGUUUCAUCCGCAGACUGAUGGUUAGUCGGAGCGGACCAUUCAGACUCUAGAGGACAUGCUGAGGGCAUGUGUCCUGGAUUAUGGAGGAGGGUGGUAUCGACACUUGAGACUAGCAGAGUUAGCGUAUAACAACAGCUAUCAAACGAGCAUUCAGAUAGCUCCGUUUGAGGCAUUAUAUAGAUGCAGGUGUCGAUCCCCGUUGUUUUAGAGUGAUGUGGGUGAGAGGAGGACACUUGGGCCUGAGAUUUUGCUAGAAGCUGAGGAAAAGGUGAGAGUUGUUCGACGACACCUUUUGACAGCCCAGAACCGCCAGAGGAGCUACGCUGAUACCAGGAGACGAGACUUGGAGUUCCAGGUUGGAGAUCAUAUAUUUCUUAGUCUCGCCGUCCAGAGGGAUUCGCCGAUUUGGAGUGCGUGGAAAGCUCAGUCCACAUUUCGUUGGCCCUUUUGAGGUAUUUGAGCGAGUUGGACCAGUUGCUUACCGGAUUGCUCUACCUCCCCGACUUGCUGGUAUUCAUGAUGUGUUCCACGUCUCGGCGCUGAGGAGAUAUGUUUUCGAUCCUUCUCAUGUGAUUGACUUCACUCCACUAGAGAUUGGCGAGGAUCUGAGAUACGAGGAGCGACCGAUGCGGAUUCUUGCUCGUGAGACGAAAGAAUUACGCAACCGGGUCAUCCCGUAUGUGAAAGUGCAGUGGAGCAAUCACGAAGAGCGGGAGGCGACUUGGGAUCCUGAGACAGUGAUGAGGGAGUCCUACCCCGACCUGUUCGUUGUCCCGUCUUGAGAUAUGCUUUAAGUUUCGAGGACGAAACUUUUUGUAGUAUGGGAGGAUGUAGUACCCUUGGCUUUGAGUUGGAGACGUUUUGCGCAAAAUAAACGUAAAAACGGACUUUGAAACUCAAGAUUUUUUUAUUGUAGAGGACUAAAGUGUAAAAUCUAGUUGUAUAGGGGCUUAUGGGCAAUUGUUUUUACUUAGUCGGUGGAGUCCACGUGGUCCUCCAUUCUCCAUCCUCAUCCUCUCUUUUUGUUUUGUUUUUUUAUUUAUAUUGCCAAGUUGUGAGCUAAUUAAUUAGCAGGGUAGCAUUGGGUUCGUUCGUGCGAGCAAGUCAAGUGCGCGCGUCGUAGUAGCGCCGUUGGAGGCCGGGCGAGCGCGGAAUUUCUUCUCCUAUUGACUUCUCGCUGUCGUGGAUUAGCGGUUGAGGUGGGUUUAUCAUCGGAAUCCUACUCCUAUAGUAUUGUUGGUCGACAUGUAUCGUUAAUAUUAUACGUUGUUAUUGUUUAGCUCAAAUUCAUGAGUAGGUAUGUGUUAGACAUAUAAACUGAAUUGGGAGCAUGUUAUUAGUUGUUAUUAAUCAUACAUGUGGGUAAAUAAUUAUGACCAUUAAAAUAUAAAAUUUAAAUAAUUAUAUAAUAUUUAAAUAUUAUAGAUUUUAAUUCCUAAAUUUAAAAUUUAAAAAUAAUUAUAAAAUUUUAAAAUAUAAAUUUAAAAUUUGAUAUUUAAAAAUUUAAAUUUUAAAAUUUUGAAAAUUUAUAAUUUGAAGCAUUAAAAAUUAUAUAUUAAAAUUUAAAAAAUUUAAAUUUUACAUUUACAUUUUAAAAAUCUNNNNNNNNNNNNNNNNNNNNNNNNNAUUUUAAAUUUUAAAUUUUAAAUUCUAAAUUUAAAGUUUGAAAUUUUAAUUUUAAUUUAUAUUUUUAUAUAUUAAAAUUUUAUAUUUUAAAAUUCAUAAUUAUAUAUAUUUUUAAAUUUAUAUUUAUAUUUUUAAUUUUUAAAUUUUUAAAAUUUUAAAUUUUUUUUUAAAUUAAAAUAUCAAAUUUUAAAUUUUGUAUAAUUUUGAAAUUUAAAUAUUUUAUUUUUAAUUCAAAUUUAAAUUUAGAUUUUAAAUUAUUUUAAAAUAAAAAUUAAUAAAAAUAUUAAUUUAUGGAAAUAUCAAAAAAAAUUUGUCCAACAGCUUUUCAAAAUCAGUUCAGAAAAAUUACUUUUAUCUAAACUCCGCCAAACGCUCUACAGUUUUUAACUAAAAUUACUUUUCCAAACUAAAAUUAUUUGUUUAGAAAUUAUUUUUUCAGAAGCUAGGCCAAAUAGACCCACAGUUGUAGCAAAUGAAACUAGGACGGAGUUAGUCACAGUUUCAAUUAAGUACUUGGGCAGAAUGUUAAAGUAAGAGGUAUCUUUCCCACAUAAUCACCUUUUAAAUGAAAAAAAAAAAUAAAAUCUUCUCCACUGUAAGUUGUCUCACACCCCAUAUGGAAAGUGAUAAAAUAGACAAAUACAGUUCCUAACUACAUGUAAUCGAGCAAAAUUUUUAUAAUUACAACGCCUUCGAUCUACAUUCAAUUAAAUAAGAUAUAUGUAACUAUAAUCAUUAUAAUUUCAACUAUAUCAAUCUUUAUAUUAUAUUUGUAAACUGAAAUUAUACUUUUGGUCCUCAAAUUUUGAGUAGUGUGGCACCUUAGUCCUCGAAUUUUGAUUUGUUGUCAUUUAUGAAUCAAAAAUUUUAAAUUGUUGCAAGUAAACUCUACGGUCCAACUUAACUGGUUAAAUAAUAAUUUAUCGCUAAUAUAGAAUUAAUGUAGUAGUGUUACAAUUGAUAACGUGGCAAUUAUUAAGAUGUCACAUUGUUACCACUUAGCGAAAUAUCAAUAUUCAGUCAACUUAAUUGAACUUUGUGUCACGCCCCGGGGCCGAUUUUAAAAGUCUUUUUAAAACAGAGUUGCGGAAAACGUGCCAUUUUUUUUUUUUUUUUUUUUUUUANUCAUACAUGUGGGGCUUGGAUAAAAUAUAGGAGAAAACCAGUGUUCGGGACCUGGCAUAUGUUGAACUACCUGAUUUAGCCCUAGGGGCCGUUGUAUUUUUAUACUGUUGCAGUAUCCUCAUAGUGAGUAUCCCAGGUAGUUUAGAUUUCAGUUACGCUUGUGCAGGGAUGCCGAGCCGAUUUUACAGUAGUGUUUACAGUGUUCCGGAUUAGUGGGUGCCGUAGUGGUUGACGGCGGACCUGGAUUUGAUCGUUUCGAUAUCAGAUUGUGCCGAGGGCACGUGACUAGGGGUUGGUAGUACUGUUAGACCUGUUGUCUUGGUUUUAGCCUGUGAGAGCCAGAUUAAGCUCAACAGAGAUACGCUUGCAUACUCGGUUGGCUCGCGCCCACGAGUGCCGCUCCGGAGUCUAGCUUUGUGCUUUCGCGUUGAUGUCGCUGAUUAGUUGCUAUCCACGGACUGUUUAGCGUGGAGGUAGCGCUGUUUAGACAGGCGGGACGGGUGCGUACACAGUCCCUAAUGAGAUUGGGUAAGAAUUGAUAGUAGACACAGUAGGAUAGUGUAGUGGUAUGUAGCUGUGGAUUUCUUUUCGGGUUUACCUUUUAGCCUUAUUUACUACUGUAGUCUUAGUGGGUGAGCCGAUGAGUUUGAGGGCGGUACCCACUGAGGACUACUUGUUUUACAGUAGUUCUCACGCCCAGUUGUUACCCUGUGUUUUGCAGAGCCUGCUGUUCCGGCUGCUGCAUCUUCAGAGGCGGAUCGAGGCAAGGGCGUUGCGAGCUAGAGCCCUACCCGACGAAGCGCCGUGCUAGAGGAUCACCAGCUGCAGGUAGUAGUGUUUUUAUUUUGGGCUUAUGUACAUACUGAUGCUAGAACUCGCUAGAGCGAGUGUUUUUGUACUUGUUAGUUUGUAUGUAUAUGAGAUUUGUUCGUUCUACCUGCUUAGUUCUCUUCAGCUCUACACUACUGUUUGUAGUAUUGUAUAUUUUACUGAGACAGCUAUCGCUUCGUAUACAGGAAAAAUUUCGUUGUAUACGGCGGAUUUGUCGGCGUGCCCGGGGAACGUGUAAUCCGGGGCGUGACAGGUAUGCCUUGGCUCAGGGUUGAACUCAUACAACCUUCUCCAAUAUAUAUAUAUCCAAAGCAAAGAUUUUGGUUCAAUGCGUCAAUUUCUUUAAAACGCAAGAUAAGUCUAAGAUUAUAAGAGAAAUGGAUUAGGACUCCCAAAAAGGUUAGAACUCUUAAAAAGUUAAAGAUAAAAUCAGAAAAUAAAAAAUAAAAUAAAAUAAACUGAAUGCCUGAACCGCCCGUGCCGUCACCCACCCGGCCCGGCUCGUGCCGUGCGUGUGUAUAUUUAAUCAAAAGUAUCAUUCUCAUUUUCUUUCAAACAAUUUGCUUGAGAAUAAAGGAGAAUAUAAAUAACAACAAUAUAUUUUUAGUUUUUAAUGUGGAAUUAAUCAUCACUAGUGAAGAGUCCCGCGCUUUGCAGCGGAUAGAAACUAUAGUAGUAAUUAAUAAUAAUAAAAUAUUAAAUAAUGUUUUGUGUAUCUCACUUAGUACAUCUGCCAAUGAUGAAGAGAGAGAGAGAGUAAAAUAGCUCAUUCUAAAUAAAAAUUAAAUGAGAGAGAUGAAGAGACGUAUGUUGAGAAAGAGAGAAUAAAAUAGGAGAGAUGAGGAGACGAAAGUUGAGAGAGAGAGAGUAAAAUGGCUCAUUCUAAAUAAAAAUUGAAUGGGGGAAAUGAAGAGACGUACGUUGAGAGAAAGAGUAAAAUGGCUUAUUCUAAAUAAAAAUUAAAUGGGGGAGAUGAAGAGACGUAUGUUGAGAGAGAGAAUAAAAUGGAUCAUUCUAAAUUAAAAAAAUUUCAAAAUUAGGAGGUUAUGACACAUCAGCUUAAAACAUUGGGGAUUCAUAAAGAGUAAUAGAUAUGUGAAAAUCUUAGUUGGGUUCUCAGGCAAGACCUAUCAAGUAUUGGGCUGCCCAAGAGACCUAACAAGUUUUAAAUCACAAAAAACCCAAUAAAAACAAACACUAACUAUAUAUGUAGCCAAUUUGGGUGCUUGGAUUAUUGCACGAGCAUUCAAUUGUCAUAGUUAAAACUCCAAGAGAAGACUCAGGGGCCGUUUGGCCUAGCUUUUAAAAGCGCUUUUGGGCUGAAAAGCGAUUUUUCGGCUCAAUAGAGCGUUUGGCAACUCACUUUUAAAAUCUGAUUCUGCUUUUUAGAAUCAGAAAACUGAUUUUGAAGGCCCCAGAAUCAGAAAUAGAAAAAAGCUGUUUCUUAAAAUUUGUUUCUGAUUUUGGGUUUAAACUUUAAAUUUUUAUUUUUAUUUUAAUUUUAAUAUUUAAAUUUAAAUUUAAUUUUAAAUUUUAAUUUUUAGAUUCAUUUUUGAAUUAUUAAAUUUAAACAUUUAAAUAUUAAGUUUUAAAUUUUGAAAAAUAGAUUUCAAACUUUAAAUUUUAAAUUUUAAAUAUAAAUUUCAAAUCUCAAAUUUUAGAUUUUAAAAUUUAAAAUUUAAAAUUUAAAAUUUAAAAUUUAAAAUUUAAGAUAAAAUUUAAAAUUUGAUAUUUUAGAUUUUAAAAUUUAAAUGUAAAAAUUUAAAUUUUUUAAAUUUUAAAUUAUAAUUUUUAAUCUUCAAAUUAUAAAUUUCAAAAUUUUAAAAUUUAAAUUUUAAAUUCCAACAUAAAAUUAUAAAUUAAGAAAUUUAAAUUUUAAAUUUCAAAAUUUACACCUAGGUUUCUAAAUUUUAAAAUCUAAAUUAAAUUUUAAAUUUUAAAUUUUAAAUUUUAAUAAAAAUUUUAAAUUUUAAAAUUCAAAUUUAAAAAUUUGAAAAUUUAAGUUUCAAAUUUUAAAAUUUAAAAUUUAAAUUUUAACUUUUAAUUUUGAAACUCAAGAAAUUUUAUAGAAUUACACACUAUGCGUCCAAAUAGUUUAAAAAUUAAAUUCGUGAAAUUUUUUAGAGUUACAAAAUUUUUUAUUUUAUCCAGAGGAAAAUACAGUUUAUAAAUUAUAUAAAAUUUUUUUAAUGAGAAUCCAAAGUCCAAACAUUCCUCUAGUCAACCUAGUCAACAAACCAAGUAUCACUGUCCAACAUGUUGACCGUCGUUGAGCAAGAAAAUCUUUUAAAUCCUCCGCAGUCGUCGUCCGUAAUUCCCAACCAAUCAGAUCGCAGCACACGGAUCAUGUGCUUCGUCAAAGUUCAAUCUCGCCCGUCCAAACUCCCUGCCCUACUCCGAUACACACAAUCUCAACCGCCCUCUAAGUUUCUCCAACUCAUAUAAAUACCUCUUCAAACUCUUCGUAACGCCUUCUCUCCUCUCAUAUCCUUAAUAAUAAUAAAAAAAAAUUUAAAAAAAAUUAAAAAAAACAUCCGUCUCCAAAACCCUAAUCCUUCUACUCGCUCCCUUCCCUUUCAACCCCAGCGGCAUUAAUGGCGCGUACGAAGCAAACCGCUCGCAAGUCCACGGGAGGCAAGGCUCCUCGGAAGCAGCUCGCCACUAAGGUACGCUCCGAUCGAUCCAUCCGUCGAUCAAACGCCUAGGGUUUUGUGUUUUCUUUCUAGAUCCCUUCAAUGGCGAUCUCGAUCUCGAUUUUGUGUCAUAUAACGCGGCGAGGAUCGAUCCGACCUCUCUAGUUUAGGGUUUUCUACGUAGAUUCCCCUGUGAUCUUGAUCGUGAUCUCUAUCCUGCCUUAUAUAAAGUAUAAUGCGGCGAGGAUCAAUCCAAUCUCUAGGUAGAGCUCCCCUCUGACUUCAAUCUUUUUCUACAUCAUGUCAUGUAUAAUCCGGCAAGGCCUUGGGGUUUAGGGUUUAGGGUUUACUGUGGAAAUGUCUGUCCGAUAUCGGUCUUGAUUUAGGAAGGAAGGAAAGGUCGAUUCGACCUCUAGUAGGGGUCUAGGAUUAUUUCUUAUUUCUUAUGCUGAUCUGAUCUGAUCUGAUGCGUAGUAAUAUUAUUAUUUAUCUUGAUCUCAAUUCUGAUUGUGUUGUUGCUCUACUAAAUGUGGUGGUUGGUUGGGUUAUCUUAUCUCAUUUAUUUAUAUUUUGUAAAAUAAUAAAAAUUUUAAAAAAAGGCGGCGCGGAAGUCGGCGCCGACGACGGGAGGGGUGAAGAAGCCGCACAGGUUCCGGCCGGGGACGGUGGCGCUGCGGGAGAUCCGCAAGUACCAGAAGAGCACGGAGCUGCUGAUCCGGAAGCUGCCGUUCCAGCGGCUGGUGCGGGAGAUCGCGCAGGACUUCAAGACGGACCUGCGGUUCCAGAGCCACGCCGUGCUCGCCCUCCAGGAGGCGGCCGAGGCCUACCUCGUCGGCCUCUUCGAGGACACCAACCUCUGCGCCAUCCACGCCAAGCGCGUCACCAUCAUGCCCNNNNNNNNNNNNNNNNNNNNNNNNNNNNNNNNNNNNNNNNNNNNNNNNNNNNNNNNNNNNNNNNNNNNNNNNNNNNNNNNNNNNNNNNNNNNNNNNNNNNNNNNNNNNNNNNNNNNNNNNNNNNNNNNNNNNNNNNNNNNNNNNNNNNNNNNNNNNNNNNNNNNNNNNNNNNNNNNNNNNNNNNNNNNNNNNNNNNNNNNNNNNNNNNNNNNNNNNNNNNNNNNNNNNNNNNNNNNNNNNNNNNNNNNNNNNNNNNNNNNNNNNNNNNNNNNNNNNNNNNNNNNNNNNNNNNNNNNNNNNNNNNNNNNNNNNNNNNNNNNNNNNNNNNNNNNNNNNNNNNNNNNNNNNNNNNNNNNNNNNNNNNNNNNNNNNNNNNNNNNNNNNNNNNNNNNNNNNNNNNNNNNNNNNNNNNNNNNNNNNNNNNNNNNNNNNNNNNNNNNNNNNNNNNNNNNNNNNNNNNNNNNNNNNNNNNNNNNNNNNNNNNNNNNNNNNNNNNNNNNNNNNNNNNNNNNNNNNNNNNNNNNNNNNNNNNNNNNNNNNNNNNNNNNNNNNNNNNNNNNNNNNNNNNNNNNNNNNNNNNNNNNNNNNNNNNNNNNNNNNGCUCGGCCUGGGCUGCUGCAGGCGGCUGGAGCGGCUGCGGCGGCGCAGGCGACGGCGGCGGUCGGCGGGGAUGAUCGCCGAAGCACGGGGCGACACCGAGGGAGGGUCCAAAGGUGGCGGCGGUCUUAGGUCUCCUCACAACCCGAGAGGAGAGAGGGAGAGAGAAAGAGAGGGAGAGAGAGAGAAGUGGUGGCUGCGGCGGCGGUUGGCCGGCCGGGGCUCAGUCGGCGGCGGCCUGGGCGCGCGCAGCAGGUGCAGGGAAGAGGUAGGAGGCGGCUAGGGGGCUAGGGCAAGGCUAGGGUUAGGGUUAGGGGAUCAAAACCCUAGAAACUAUAAAUACCAAGGUGUAACUUUGCAAAAAAGUCCACCAAACACCGGAAUUUCAAUCCGAGCCCCUCACCGAACGACUAAAACGCAAGAACGCCCCUCCACAUGCGAUCCCUUGCGAAACGAUACAUAAAAUAUCGCGACUUUUGCGAAAAUACCGUUUUGCCACUACCGACCUCUCUUCGAUCAACGCACGAUCUCCGCAGAUCCGUCCGUCAGAUUUGCGAACGGAUUGCACCAGUGCGAUCAGCACGAUGGAGACAACAAAGCUGCGAUUUCGUUUCGUCUCGAUCGACCACGGAUUCAUGACAAAAUCUAACCUUUCGUUCCAAUCGAAAGAAACACGCAAAAAUACAUAUAAAACAUGUAUUUUUGGAUUUUCUCGAAAUCCGUGCGUCGAACUCAAAAUCCGUCAGCGCCAGUAGUUCCAGAACAGCUGAACCGAUCGAAACGAGCUAUUGGACUGCUAUGAACAGAGUCCGGUACGAGCCAGAAGCUAGCUUCUCACCGCGGCUUCUCCGAAAAAUCGAGUUACUAUUCACUUUAAGUGAAACUUGGAAAUCGCGCAGAAUUUCCGUUUUAACUCGUUUUCGCCUGAAACUUGACGAGUACUUUUGUAAUUAAAUUACACACAAAAACAUCGUCAACUGAGAGUUUAGCUACACUGCAAAAAUCUCAGUCCUCACAUCAUCCCCCCCUUAAAGAAAGUUUCGUCCUCGAAACUUGCUCACAGGCGGGGGUGAUCCGACGCACAACGAACCAGCACAACACAUGCAUGCAAUGCAAGGAGAGAUGCAUUAAACGAAAAGCAUGCAAGGCUACGACGACAACAACAACAUUAUACCUGCAACGACAUCAGCCGACUGAUCAUCCUCCUGACGCGUCAUCAUGAAGGCGCGUCCGUCAGUGGUCUGGUGUACCUCCUUCACUUGACGAGAUGUUGAUGGACGUCCAGCUGAAGAAUAGGUCGAAUUGCCACGAUCCUGCCAUGGAGCUGCUGGAGUAGAUGCUGCUGCAGAUGCUGUACCUGCUCCACUGGUGCAAUCUGCCCGAAGAUGUCCACGUUGGCCACACCUGUAACAGUGAUUGUGGCGCUGUGGGCACUCAAUAACCUUGUGAGCCUCACCGCAGAUAACACAAGGUCUGAUGCUCUGCUGCUGAGACGUAGCGGGGGCGCUGCUCGAUCCUGAAUGUGCCUUGCGAUGCUUGGAUGAUCGUCCGUUGCUUGAUUGGCUACCAGCAAAACUUUCCUGUGCUCGCUUCCUGUCUUCACUCUUCUCGGAUGCGUCUUGUUCGAUUCGAGCCUCGUCCAUUUCACUCUGCACCAUCAGGGCCCGAUCUAAGCUCUCGUCGAACGUCAACGCGCCAUGGGACGCGAUCAGAAGUCGAAUACUGGGCCUUGGCCCUCUCGCAAACAUCCUUGCCUUGUGAUACUCAUCACGAACCACGAACGGAAUCAACGAAACAAUGCGAGAGAAGUCUCGCUCAUACUCGCCUACGGUACGGUUGCCUUGCUUGAGACGCUCCAAUUCACGCUCCAAACUCUGCUUAGUGCUAUCCUUGAAGUACUGCUCGUACAGGAGUCUCCGAAAUUCCUCCCAGCUUGGAUAGAUGCUCCCAAGUUUGCGUUCGAAGUGGCUGAUCCACCACGAAUACGCAUCCUUCUCAAGACAGUGAGCAGCUAGAGGGACUCGAUCCAGCUCCUCGAUAUGAAGAUCACGGAACAACUUCUCCAUGUGAGUGGCCCAAUGCUCGAUCACCCAGACGUCGUCACUCUUUCCGGCGAAUUUCGGCGGAUCGAACUUUCGAAACUCCACCAGUUUUGCCCGUAUGCGGGUGCCUUCUGCUGCAAGGGUACCAACACCCCCAGCGAGAACCGUCGUGGGGGCCGUCGUCGUCGUAGUAAUGACAGCUGGAGGUACGGCAGGCGCAUGCGUCGCGGGAGGAUCCGCGUUCACCGGAGUGCCCUGUGCCGAAGGUGGGACCGGGGUAGCAGUAGCCGCAGCCUGCUGCUGCAAGAACUGCUGAAACAAACCAGAGAGGGUCGCAAGCUGACCCCUCAAAUCAGCUACCUGGGCCUCGAGCUGCUGAGUCCGAGUACCACUCAGCGGCUCCGCGCCCAACUGCUCCCCAACACCCCCACUCGGAGGAGCACGAGUACUGCCGGGCGUUUCCGCACCAACGCGUCCACAACCACGACCCGGACGAGGGGGCCUACCACGAGCCAUCUGCAACAGAAAACACCGUCAAGCAAACCAAACGACUUGACAUACCAACUCAUCGGGACUCAAACCCAAUACACCGCACUCGCGUGCCUAUAUACCUUAGGUCUUCCUAUAGGUCAACCUAACCAGUGGUUCAGUUAGAAACUUGUAAAUGCAGUUGUAGUUGUUUCACUCUCUGAUACCAUCUUAAUCUGUCACGCCCCGACUUCCCAGGGGGUCACCCAUCCUAGGACUACUUCCGUCCUAGCACGCUUAACUCUCUUAACCUCUUGGGUCUAGCCACCACCCAAAAUGCUUAAGCCGGGUUAAGAGUUGAGCCCUAUUAUAUCUUAUAUAUAGGACUAUCUGGGGUCUCACAAUUCUCUAAUCCAAUUAGAAAUAAAUAUUAAUCUCUCCAAUAUUUAAUUAGAUCUUAUCUAAUUUUAAUCUUAUUCAAUAAAAUUACUUACUAAUAUUUAAAUCUCAUUUAAAUAUCUUUUAUGAUUAAAUAUUAUCCACUAAUCUAAUUAGAGAUAAAUUUAAAUCUUGCGCAUAAUUCUCAAACUGAUUCUGAGAUCCUAAUCUAAUUAGGACUAUCAGUUAUAACCUAAUCGAAUAAUUAAAUCUAAUUUAAUUAAGCAGCUUCCUUUUAUUUUUCAUCGCUUAUACUAAACUCUUUAGUGAACGACUCUCAUCCAAACGAUUCGGGUCCACACAAUUCCUAAUGUGUGUGACCGCAUAGAUUCGUUACGCAGUGGAGCUAAAUAUCAAACUCUUUGAUAUUUAAUUAGAACCCUUCUAAUCGAUAAAUAAGAAUAAUUAAAUUCUAAUCAUUCAUAUUCUCUCACCGUCCGUGAGUGACACCUAGCAGUAUAUCACGGCAAUCCAGAAUGGUGAUUAAGAAUGAACCUUUCCGCUUACAGUUAUCAAGUGAUUAAUUCCUUCCAACAUACAACGUCCCGAUCGAACUAAGGUCAUGGUUACUCGCCAAACCUUAUCAUUCGACCAUAUGACUAGACUAUCUGAAAUCAACUCAAUAUGACAACACAGUUGAAAACUCUUUCCACAUACCAUGUACCCUGGCCAGGGGUUUUCCGUGUCGAGUCCGAUAAACUGCAUAGGACAUUCUCCCUCAUUAUUGAGAGUGUUGGAAUCCUUAUUUGCUCAUUCACAUGCCUCCUCGCAUAAAUCACUACAGCCAAUCAGUAUCGAACAUAGACAUGUGUCUAGAGUCUAAGUAUUAGUACUGUCAAACGGUAGCAACCUAUACGUGAAGCAACUAUGAUGCCUCAGGUCCGAUGAGUACUUCACACAAUUGUAGCAAUGAACUUGUCACUGGCGAGUAUAGAACCAUGUGACUAUUCAACUAAAUAGUCACGCUCAGUGUACUUAUUUUCUAACAAGUACCUGUAUGCUUGUUUUAGUGUCCCUACACUAGUGACUUGAGAUUCGUCACCUCAAUUAAAAACAUAGCAUACACCGGCCUAUCCGGAAUAUCACCGUCCCUGUAAUAUUCCUCUGGCUAGGAGCAUUUAAAGAGUCUUGUACAGAAAAGUACAUAUCUCAAAUUCCUACAUUUUAGGAAUGUCUUUUCAAACAAAGACUUUAUGGACGAUUCAUGUUAAUAUUGGACUGCUAGACAAUAUACAUGAAUAGAAUAUCUGCCCUCAUAUUAUAAAUUAUCAAUGAUUAAUAUAUAAAUACCCUCAAGCUAGUAUCACCAGAUUGGCUUUUGGGUAUAUAACUAACAAUCUCCCAUUUGCACUAAAGCCAAAUACUCACAUAUUUUAUAUGCAUUAUUUAAAAUCAACUCUUCAACCCUUGAAGAGUAAGCUUUUUAGCUAGUGCAUCCACUAAACUAUUCAUGACUAUUAUAUUCUACUUAGCAAAGUUGUUGGGAGUAUAAAUCAUUUCCAUUCACUAAAUACGUCUGGAUCAUUGAUGAGACCUAGGUUCUAUAUGAACCAUAUGGAGUUCUAAACUCCAUGAACCAUAACAUAUUCUAUAGUGCAUCUCAUGCAGCGCCACACUUAACCUUCAUGUUAUCUUGCUCGAACUUUUCAAGCAAUAACAACUCUGAUACAAUCUCAUGAAAUCUCUCUUUUCUCUCUUUAGUGUCAAUACUUCACAAGUAUCAGAUAAUAUCUAUCAGUAACAUUUACUGUAUCACAAUCAUCGCACAUAGAAUAAUACACCUGUAGGUUCCAAAUAUCGAAUUAUAAAGGAUCCUGCAUAAGUGCAUCAUUUCUUAGUAUGUCACACACACUGUUAGAGGCGACUUUUUCCAAAGGAUAAUAUGUCUCUCAUUAGAAUUCAAUCUUGUUGACCUUGUCAACAUGAUAUCCUAUGUACGCAGUUUAAGAAAUUUAUUAGAUCUAUCUCUAUAGACCCGUAUUCUUCAGAUGAAAAUAUAUAACUAGAAUUUUCAUCAAGAAGUUCUUGACAAUCAAUAUUAUCAUACUGGUUAAAUUUCUAAAAUAUCAAAUAUUGUUUACGUACAAUACGUAAAUCACAUUUUGUGCUCCCACUAUUUCUCAUGUACACUUUUUGACUCGUCCAUACUUUCGAUGCAUCAAACACUUUGCUUGCAUUUUGAAGUAGACGUCAUAUUUCUGAGAAAAUCGUUUAGAUCCAUUUAUAGUUUGUGAGGAAAUUCUUCCACUGUUCCGAACAGUAGCUUUUCUUAAUAACGUAAAUUAAAGAUAAACUAUGAUAUCUCAUAUCACCAUGUGUAACAAGCAAAAAAAAAAAACAAAUGGAUUAUGAUAUCCACCACAAAUCUAUCACAUGUGUAACAAGCAAAAAAAAAAAACAAAUGGAUUAUGAUAUCCACCACAAAUCUAUCACUGUAUUCGAGACUUUCUCUUUGACCACAACAUUUUGUUAGUAAUGGAGUUUCAAAGGUCUGUACCUUUUAUUUAUACAAAUCUUUAAUUGUAAAGACUGACAAGGUACCUUACCUUAUAGAGAGUCGAUAAUUUAAGAUUCAUAUAACAUCCAUUUGCUUAUAUGCAUCUAUCUUCUCGGAUUGAUAUUUCAUAUCGUUUCUUCACAUCUAAGAUAAUCAUUAUCUCUUUUAGAAAAAUAAUUUCUUCUAAUACCUAAUAAUCAAAUCCAAUUUGAUCUGAAAUUUAGAAAAUAUCUUAGAUCUUAUGUGUGCAAAUAAUUAAUCUAGACUUGACUCACAACUCAAUAGACACUUUGUUGAGCCAUAUAUAUAUAUAUAUAUAGUCCGGCUAUGGUGCUUGUAAAAGCACCAAGCACUUGGUGUUUCUGAGUUUUUUACCGUUAGAUCUACGUCUUUGAUCAUUUUUAUUCGUUAGAUUAUACUAUUCAACCAACCACCCACUCAACCCUAGGGGGCCCAUAUCAUUCUAACGGCACAUCUCUUAAUCUAGGGCAAAAAACUUACAAGCACCAUAUAUAUAUAUAUAUAUAUAUAUAUAUAUAUAUAUAUAUAUAUAUAUAUAUAUAUAUAUAUAUAUAUGUAUAUGUACCUCUAUAUGUAUAUAUACCUCUAUAUACAUGUAUAUGUAUAUAUACCUCUAUAUAUAUGUNAUUUUAAAAUUUUAAAUCUCUAAACUCUAUAAAAUUAAUUAAUUAAUUUUAUUAAAUAAUUCAUUGUAUAUAAUAUAAUUAAUUAAUAUUAUUAAUAAUACACGUAAUAAAUCGCAUAAUAAAAUCUAAUUUGAUCGGUGUAUAAAAAAUAUAUAUAAUUUAAAUUUGAGGAGUAAGAUUUUAAAAAUAUAGGAUGUCUGUAUAUAUAUAAUUAAUUUUAUUAAACAAAUUCUUCCAUUAUUUUAUUUCCCUUCUAUUUAUUUUUUAAAAUUAUUUUGAUAUAUUUGACUCAAAUCUUUUUUCACAUAAAUCUUUAUAAAAUAAGUUGUCGCUUUAAUAAAUUUUAUUUAAAUAAAAUUAACUAAUAAAUUAUUUUUAUAUGACUUUUAUUUAAUUAAUAAUUAGGCUUAUAAAAUUAUUUAAAAAUAUAGAAAACUAAAAUUUAUUAAAAAAUUUUUAUAUCUGCAGUAUCGCACCGAUAUUUCACUAGUUAAAUGUUAUGGGACUCUACUUGUAUGCACGUAUGACAGUAUGAGUUGGGCUUUUGGUCCCAACAAAGAGUUGGGAGAUGAUCCUAGGGUUUCAAUUUUGUCGAUUUUUAAUGCAUAAAUUUUUUAUAAAUAGAUUUGGUAAUUCUUAGUAUGAUUUAAAUUAGAUAUAGGUAUUAAAAAAUGAUAUAGUUUUACUGUAGAAUUUUUUAAAAAAAAUUAGUUAAAUCCAAUCAACCAAAUAAUCUAGAGAUUUGAAUAUUUUGAUGUGACUAAAUUGCACCCAUGGCCCUCAAAAUUUUAAAUGGGUGGCAUUUUGGGCCCUUUUUGAUUUGUUAUAAUUUUCAGCUCAUUUUUAAAAAAAUUUAAAAUGCGGAACGUUUCGUCAGGUAGGUUUAAUGAAGAACUAUUAAAUCAUAUGUACUUCCGUGGUUUAUUUAAUUGUGAUGGAGAUGUCAAAAUGGACUCAUGAAGGUUUUCGUAUUUAUAAAUUGUUUUCAAUAAUGGGAUAUCUGAUUCACCGAUCAGUUAUAUUAUACAUGAUCUAUAGUGUUAGAACUAUCUAAAACCAAAUUUCAGAAUUUUUUUAUGUUGUUUGUCUAUUAAACGACGAAUCUUAAAAUGAACGGCUGAAAAUAAAUAUUCAAUAAAAAACAAUGAUAAAAGAGAAAGUCUAAAUCGAAAGUAUUUAUCUUAGUUUUGAUAGUAAAUAAAAUACUUUUUAAUUAAAAUUUUACCUAAUUUAGAUUAUUCUUAACCGUUGAACUUACAGAUGUAUCGUAUCUAUUAUUAAAAUAGUUGGUCAAUGAUACCAAAAUAUUAUAAUAUAUAAUUUUUAAAUAAUUCUAAUAGUGCAUAUCAUUUUGAAUAGAGCUAAUCAUUAAAUCAAAUAUCUGAUUAUCAAAAAUAAGUUAUAAAUAUAAAUAUGGAGAUCUACAUGAUUUAAAAGUAUGGGGGUAUGUACUCUAAAAAAUAAAUUUAUCCCAAAAUAUAAAAAAAGGAAAAUCCCCUAUCGAGUGAAUAUAUAUAUAUAUAUAUAUAUAUAUAUAUAUAUAUAUAUAUAACAAAAACAAUUUAUAAUAAAUCCCGAGAAAUAAGGGUCAAACUCCCUAUGUUCAUUUCUUACACGGCAUAAAACGUGCGUGUGCGAUUUCUCCGUAAUAAAACCGUUCGAAUCACGGGGUCUCUCUCUCUCUCUCUCUCUCUUUCUCUCUCUCUCGUUACUUAGCUUGCGGAGGUGGAGGAGGUCGUCUUCAUCACGUAGAGCUUCGUCGCGGAGGAAACGGCCUCUUUGGAGCUCCUCUUGAUGCCAUUGUCGCCGCGCAGGGCCGGGGCUUCUAGGGUUAGGGUAUCGGGGGCUUCUUGUUGCUGUUUGGGGACCCGUUGGUGGCGGUAAGCGAGAUGAGAUCCAGGUGGUGGGUUCCCCUGAUCUGGGGGUUGGCCUUUGGUUGCAUUUUCUUGGGUUCUGGGGCUUCGGAUCCUGAGGAAGCUGAGCGCGCGUAAGUAGGAGUUUUAAAGAUUUUGCCUUUUUUUGUUUUUUUUUCUACUACAUGAGUUGAUUUGCUUUCAUGUUUUGCUAUUAGAAGAUGUAAUGUGCUUUGGAGUUGCUCUAACCCUCCUGUUUCAUUUCGUCGAACAUGUAGUGGGUGCUGCGUUAAUUUGAAUAUAGUAGCUUUUAUUCUGUUUCAGGAUGGAUCUUUGUGUAAACUUUAACCCCUGUGUCAUCUUGGUGUAGGGAAAAUAUUAGCUAAAUGAAACAAAGAGGUAGAUUGCUUGGUGCGUAGCUAGCAUAAUGCAGGCAAAAUGUUGAGUUGAUUUCUUGUGGAGACAUACAGUGUAGUUCUCAAUGAUUGAUUUUGUUCCAUUCAAUUGGCUUAUAGAGUGGCACUAUAUAUGUUUCAAUGGUGAUAUCUAUUAGAGAUUUUACUUGAUUUGCGCUAAUAUACUAGAAAGUAGGCAUUUUGAUGUACAGAAGGAAUUGAUGAACUCAGAGCCCCUGUUUACCAUUUUCAUAGAUGUAAAGUAUCUUAGGAGUUCACUGCCCUUUAUUUUGAUACUUGUAAUAACUUCCUUUAGGUUUUUCUUUGUUUAGACACGACUUUUCUUGCAAAGUUGUAAUAUAUAAGAGCUAAAACAAUUUUUAAAGAUGCUCGAAAUUUUGUUCCCUGGUUGGUAUGUUGCCAAAAUUGUUUGAUUGGGAGACAAAAUGAGGAUAGCUCAAAACUAUUCCCUUUUUUCCUGCCAAAUGCAGCAAAAGAGGGUAAGGGAUAGUUGUACUUGUCAAACCAGUUUAUUUUAGGAUUACCAAUAGCUGGUAACUAUUACAUUAGCCAUGUCCUGGGAAAGUGCUAGUCAUACUUUGUUUCUUUCUGUUCAAUGCUUACCGGUGCUAAUAUCUGAAAAUAUGAUACAGCUUCACUUUUACUGUUUACCUUAAAUUACAGGAUGAGCCACGGAAUUUUGUGAGUCAUUGUUGUAUAUAACUUAUGCUAUUAUGUCGAAAAAGUAAAAUGUUUUUACAUUGUUAAACAAGCAUUUAUGGUGAACCUUGAAAUUCAUACAUUCAUAUAGUUUUUCUUGAGAACUUAAAAAUAUGCUUGGAUUUCAUAGGCCUUGUCAUGGGAUUGAUUGUGGUAGUCUUAUAGGUUUCCUAUUGUGGAGCCAGAUCCUGAUCAUACUAAACUGCAUCUUGCAAGAGAAGGUCUAGAGGCAAUUCGAAGAAUCAAAAACCCUAUUGCAGCUGUUGCUGUAAGUUACCUCUUCAAUGUUGACUAUACAUCUCUCAGUUGUACUAUUCACUAUCAUAUCUUUUUGAUGGUAAUUCCUUCUUCAUUUUAGCAUAAAGAAAGAUCACAUUCUUCUAUAGAAAAAGGUCUUUAUGAUCCCUACAUGUACUCAUGCCUCACGCCAAUUCAUUAUAGAGUUUCCUCUGUCAUGAGUAGCUAUACAAAUUCCUUUUGUCUAUAGCUCAUGCACAUACUUCCUUUUUUCACUUUUAUCCACAUUAUUUCGAAGUUGAGCUCCUAGAAUUCUGAUAAUUCUUUUGUUGCACUUCAGCCAAUUUUGUACAGAAUGAUCCUUGCAUUCUUGGUCCAGUUUACUGCCAAAAUUCAUGUUUCUCUAAGCACAAACCAAAUUCAUUUUCCACAGCCUGAAUUGUAGAACCACCUGUGCCUUUAUAUAUACAAUUAAUAGACCUUGUUGUUGUUCUCCUGUAGUUCUUGGAGAUUUUGAGAGCUAAGUUGCAUUAUGUUACAUUUUAUUGGCACUUAGUUUCAGUGAGAAAUUAGAAAACUGAAAUUUGCAUUUCAACUUGUUAAAAUCUCGGGUUUCAUGCUCGGUCUUCAGCAUAACAAUAAUGUUAAUGUUAUUGCCUGCAAACUCAGGUUAUUGGUCCAUACAGAUCAGGAAAAUCCUUUCUUCUCAAUCAACUUCUCUCCUUAUCAUGUGAUAAAGGUACAUAUUAUUUAUGUUUUAUAUUUUUUAGUACUUUUUAAUAAGAAUGCUGUCUGGGGCGAGUUUUAAUUAGUCAAUUUGCAGGUUUUGGUGUUGGACAUAUGCGGGACACGAAAACAAAAGGUUGUUUUGACAUUCAAUGAUAUUCUUUCUGAUGAUUUUAUUUACUGAAUAUUUUCCUUUCUCGGCAAGUUCUAAAAUAUUGGUAUGCAUCUUUUGAAUGCAGGAAUAUGGGUUUGGGGUACUCCAGUCGAAAUGGUUCUUGAUGGUACAAAAGUGUCUGUCGUCUACCUGGACACUGAAGGAUUUGAAAGUGUUGGGAAAUCAAAUGUAUAUGAUGAUAGGUAAGUCUAAUAAAAUAAACUCAUAUAGUGCUGAUUAUCUGGCUUGUUCUUGAGAGUAUGUAAAUUGUAAAAAAAAGUGAUUUUUUGUUUGGGUUCAUUUCAGGAUCUUUGCUCUGGCUACUGUUUUGAGCUCUGUGCUUAUAUACAAUCUCCCUGAGACGGUUUGCUCCUUAUCUGACUCUUUCCCUCUAAUUGGCCCUAAAUAGCAUCUCUCCUCUUUUUCUUUUUUUUUUUUUGGGUUCUAGACUGGAAUUUGGUUUUGCAAGGGACAUAUUUGUCAUUUGCUUAUCUUGUAGAUCCGUGAGGCUGAUAUAUCACGAUUGUCUUUUGCUGUUGAAAUUGCAGAAGAGUUCUACGGAAGGUUUGUUUCUUGAUUCUAAUGGAUUGAAGAUCUCAUUAUAAGUUUGUUGAUAAUUCUAUUCUAACAAUAUUUUUUGUUGUUUUUGUUUUAUUAUCUCUUGGUGAAUAGGGUGAAGGUAACAUACUAAAACUCAGUUGGAUGGUAGAAGAAAAUCCUACAAGUUAUGUGUUUGAAACUAUUGGAAAUAUCUGCAGGGGCAAGACAAUGCAUUUGAACCUGCUAAGCUCUUGUGGCUUAUCCAGCGUGACUUCCUACGUAAGUUGAUUCUUUUCUUCUUCAGAUUUUCUCAUUUGUAGAGACGAUAUAUGAGGAUAUUAUUUGUUUGAUAUCGCUAAAGGAGAGGUUUUUAGUGGCCAUUCGAUUCUGUAGCUUAACAGAAUAUUUUGUGUUGAGAUGGAAUAUUGUGGAACUUUUUUGAUAGAGAAAGUAUUAAACAUGAUUAAAAUUGAACAACAUGUUAGUUGGGGUGUUUAAUUAAAAUAAUUGAAGUUUAGGGAUAUUUGUCAACAUAACAUAUAGUUGAGAUUGUCUAUUAAUUUUGUGGUAUAUAGUUUUAUAAUUUUAUGGCCACUUCUUGGGUAACCUUUUGGGCGGGGAUUUUUUCUAAAUAAGCCCAAUUAUUUUUCAUUUGCUUUUAAUCGGCAAAAAACAUAGUUGAAUUUGGUAGGAGAUAUGCUGUAGCUAUAUGUAAUAUAAAGUGGAAACAUAGUUGAAUAUGGUAGGAGAUAUGCUAUAGCUAUAUGUAAUAUUAAAUGGAUGACUUGGCCAAUACCUCUAAACAACCAAUUUAAAGUAAACAGUAGUUAGUUAAACACAAUAUUUCUCUCUCUUUCUGUUGUGCUUUUUACUGGGUUGCAUCGAGCAUAUUGCUACUAGGAUAACUUUGUUUGGCUGAUAACCUCUAAACAACCAAUUUAAAGUAAACAGUAGUUAAUUAAACACAAUAUUUCUCUCUUUCUGUUGUGCUUUUUACUGGGUUGCAUCGAGCAUAUUGCUACUAGGAUAACUUUGUUUGGAAAUGGGAUUUCUUGGCUUAUUUGUUGAGUGUGUAGAUGAAUUUUGAUUGAUCUCAGGAACAAGAUCCAUGAUCUAUUAGUUUUAUUGAGGUUCAGUUCAAGAUGCUGAAGUAGUGAGCUGUUUCUGUUUCAAACAUUGUCUUUUUCUUAUAAUAAUAAUUAUUAAAGUGGCCCAUGUUGUCUCAUAAAUUUUCCUUUUAGUUGGCGUGACACCUCAUGUUGUUAUGUUUGUAUGCUCACUUGGUGUAAUCUAACUUUGGUGCUUCAGAGGGGAAGUCUGUGCAAGAAAUGGUGAAUGAAGCUCUUCAGAGGGUCCCUAAUCGCAAUGGUUAGCUUUUGUUAUCUUUGUGCUCUAUAAUACUUAUUUCGCAAGGAGCCACAGAAGUAUAUAAUUUCGUUUUCAUUUGUUAUUUCAGGGGACAAAUACAUUGAUCAGGUAUCAUUUUAAAUGCUUGACUGGAGGAUAUCAACAAUUACAUUAUUUUUCUUUGUAUUUGUCAAAUGAAUUUUUUGUUUGUUUUUUCUUAUGAAUAGGUCAACCAAAUAAGAGACUCUUUGGCAAUUAUGGGUGAUAAUAGCACAGCUUUUAGCUUGCCCCAGGUGCUCUUUUGAUGCUCCUUUUAAUGCUAUUGUUCUUUUGUCUUCACUCCCAAUUUUUUAUAUCAUUGCUAAACAUUAGUUAUCAAUGAACUUUAUUAUUGAUUGACAUAACACAAAGGCCUCGUAACUUGCUUGUAUCCAUGUAUUAUUCAAAAUGGUACGAAGACGUAGUUGUUGUUCACGUUGUGUAGCAAAGCUUAGUACACUAUAAUUAUAUUAUGUUGCUCCCAAGACUUGCUCCUUCCGGACAUUUUUAAAAUGGUUGGCAUAUCAAAUGACAGGUUAGUGGACUUCGUGUUUUUAUUAAUUGUUUCCUGCAUUUAUGUAUGCUGCAUGGUUACAAGUAUAUGAUUUGUGUCAUCUCUAUCUACGUUCGCCAUACAUACAUAACUUCUGUUUUAUAUAGCCAGUGGAUCCUCAUGGAAGUUAUUAAUAUUUUGGCAGCCUCAUCUUCAAAGAACGAAGCUUUGUGAUAUGAAGGACAGUGAACUUGACCCCCUCUAUGUAGACAAAAGGGAACAGUUGAAAAAACUAGUUGCAUCCAUUACACAUCCAAAAAUUGUGCAGGGAAAAACUCUUAAUGGGGAGGAGUUUGUUACAUUUCUAGAGCAGGUGAGUUCUGUUGCAAUAUGUUAAGGUAUUGUUUAUAAUUGGUAUAAUCGGUACGAUAUAGUUAUUGACAUAUAAAUAGAUAACCCCUGUAAAAUUAUUUAUUUGCAUACAUACUCUUGCAAAAUCUGAAUUUUCAUACAUGCCCUUCAAAAUUUUAAUUUCUUCCAUACAUAUAUACUCUUGCACUUAACAAAAGUUCCCCUCUUUAAGGUAUUUCCUAAAAGAAACCAACUUCCACGCAUGAAUUGGAUGAUUCCCAACUUAAAUAAGUCCAUUUUGAAAGGAAACUCCAUUUUAAAAGGGUUUGCGUGAAAAAUUAGUUUUUACGGUAGCAUUUGGUUCGGGUAUAAGCAAGAACUAGCUAUUACAGGGAUAGGUACAAGUAUGGGGAUAAGAAAAAUAGUGUUUGGAUGAAAAUUGGGUUGUUCCCGGGGAUAAGAAAAAUAGCGUUUGGAUAGAUAAUAUGGAAUAAGAAAAAUAGUGAGUAGUUUUAUAUAGGAAAUGGAGGUAUUGGUGGGGAUAGUUAUACCCGGUUAUUAUAGAUAACCGAGAACUACUAUUCUCGGGUAAAAAAUUAGCGUUUGGAUAUAAAGGGGGGAUAAGGGGUUAUCCCUAUCCCUAUCCCCUUAUCCAAACGGUGCCCCCGGAAUAUAUAUGUAGAGGGUUAUCCCUAUCCCUAUCCCCUCAUCCAAACGGUGCCGGGAAUAUAUAUGUAGAUAGAUGAUUUGAAGCAAAAUUUACGUAAUAGUCCCUUACAGAAAUGCAUUCCAUAUUAGAGGAUACCCCAAAGUUAUUAUUGUUGCCCUAUAUUGUUACAGAUUCUUGAAGCCUUGAACAAAGGAGAAAUUCCAUCAACAGGUUCUCUAGUGGAAAUUUUCAAUAAGGUGAUUCUGGAACGUUGCUUGAAGGUGUAUAAUGAGAGAAUGGGCAGUUUGGGCCUACCUGUACCAGAGAACAAACUGCAACUGGUUCAUGACGAGUCGAAAAUUGAGGUGAGAAAACUUUUUGAUGAACAGCACUUUGGUCGCCAUCACGCUGCGCAAUCCAUCCUUAAACUUGAGGAGGAGAUUCAAAAGGUACGAUCUAUAACAUAGUUGAAAAGCAUAAAAUAUAAGUGAAUGAACUCGUUUGCAUGGGUGUGAAAGUUAUAGGUCUUGCAUUUGUAUACCUACGUUUGUGCCCGUUUGGCCUGGCUUCUGGAGUUUCCCUGCUCUCAAAAACAGCAGCAAGCUGUUUGGCAUACAUAAAGGACUCUGUUUGUAAGCUUAAAUGAGCUUCUCCAUACCAAAAGCAGAAGCUUUAAUUUGAAAGCUUUCUUUUUGCUGCAGCAUGAAGCUGCUAAAAAGUAUUCAGUGCUUCCAAUUUGAAGUUCUGCUUAUGUUGCAACAUGAAGCUGAUAAAAAAGUUGUCAAUGCUUCUUUGAACAAGCGUGCUCAAACUGCAAGUGCUCCAGCGGCCAUGCCAUAUGAUUAGCCUUAUAUCUAUUUGCGACAGCUAGAACCAGAAGGGUCACAUUGGGGUUUUUGCUUUUGACAUUCAAGGCUUGUUUCACCUUCCUGCCUUAGCUGGAAACUCCACAAUUUUUGUUUAUCAAAUAUGUAGCUUCUAUUUCUAAAUUAGAAAAUCUCCUCUAAAAGCUGGGCUUGAUAAGCACAUUGUCUUCCUACGAAAUCGUCUAUCAAAUCAACAAUGCUUCAAGUUGGAAGAUUUUGUACUGAACAAACUGCAGCAUAUGAUUUUUGUAUUCACUUUAUCCAUUCUCUUCUUUGCGAGUCAUAUCUGGUUAACAAAUCAUCACCACAUACAGGUUUACAGGAAUUUCCUUCUUGCGAAUGAGUACCAGUCAUCAAAAUUGUGUGAAGCACGGUAUACACAGUGCGAGGACAAAAUGGAUCAGCUUCAAGUGCUGAGACUUCCUUCCAUGGCAAAAUUCAAUGCUGGCUUUCUCCAAUGCAACCAAAGUUUUGAAAAAGAGUGUGUUGGACCUUCGAAGGAAGCGUAUGAGCGACGGAUGACAAAGGUUAGGCUUUCUAAACCUUACUUACAUUUUUCUCAGUUUAUAUGCCCAUUAUCUGGUUUGCUGUUUUUUUCCCCAUGACUCAGAAACUAAAGAAACUAAGAAUUAUAAUGCAAAAUUGCGGAUUCUGGACAAAUUUGGUAACUUACUGACUUUUUUUAAAAAACCAAUAUUCUUUAUGUGAAACUGUAUACCUCAUCUUGUCCCACAGAUUUAGCAUCCAUAUGUGUCAGCACCAGAUUUAUGAUAUGAAUGCUCUAUUGAGGAUUUAUUCUUUUAACUACUUGUGCCUGAGCCAUGCCCGAAUCCUUUCUUUAGUUAGAUAUUAUCAUACUGAUAUCCUUCUCAUGAGCUGCAUUUAAAUUUGAAUUCUAUAUUUUGCUUUCAGAUGCUCGCAAAGUCUCGUGCUCUUUUCAUCAAGGACUACAACAACCGGCUUUUCAACUGGUUGGUGACUUUUGCGCUCGUUAUGGUCGUCGUCGGCCGCUUUAUAAUCAAGUUCUUUUUGCUUGAAAUCGGGGCAUGGGUGAUGUUCAUCUUCUUGGAGACAUACACAAGAAUGUUCUGGUCGGCGGAAUCACUAUAUUACAAUCCCGCUUGGCAUAUCAUAGUGGCUACUUGGGAAACUAUUGUUUACAGCCCUUUACUCGAUUUGGACCGGUAAGUUCAUCGUUUUUUUUUUUUUUCCCACUCAUUUUAUUCUACUUAAAACACUUAAUAUAAACUCGACUUGGUUGUAUUGAACUUGGCACAGAUGGGCAUUCCCAAUUGGCGCGUUGUUAUUGGUUUCGCUUCUAUAUUGGCGGUGUUAUGGGAGGAGGAAAGGAGGUUCUCGUUCCCUACUACCUUUGUACACUAAUACAUACAAAAGUGGAUCGAACCGUCCACGAUCAGAUUGAUGAUAGAAUUUAUUUAUCCGUCAUUAAAGAUUCCUUGAGGACAAGUAUUUCGAGUCGUUCGUCAACCUUAUUGGGCGGGCCUUGUUUUUUUUUUGCCGGCGCCCCGCCAAUGAACUUCCUCUUCUUUUCUAGCCAUUUGGUUUUGGUGGUGAAGAGGUCCGAAAGUUUCGAGCAUUUGAUGCAGGAUCCAAGCAUUUCUUGUUUCUUGUGUAACAUUAUAUCUGAGCGUCCAUCUUUUUCUUUAUAGAUCAGUGUUUAUUAUUUACACCCAUUUUUUAAAAUUAUUGCUGUUUAACACAAACAAGUGGAUAACAUUAACCCAGGCGUAUGUUGAUCUCGUGUUUUUGUGAGUUAAUGCAGUAUCCCCUAUCCUCCAUUCUGAGUGGUGGAACCGUGUCCUGUUUCUCGUUUUCUUUUUUUUUUGAAACUACACUGAAAUGCAUUGCCUAUUCAACCCCAUUUUAUUCAACUCCAUUUCGUAGGGAAUAGUUCAGACGCAUUGGAUACUAGUUUUUUCUAUCUGUGAAUCUUUCGUGUACUUCAUUAAUUAGCGAGAUAUUCGAGUAGAGGGGUUUAAAAAUCAGUCUAAUGCAGUGAUUCUUAUCCUCGUGCAGUUCGAAUCCCUAGUCUACAAGCAAUGCUAUAAAACGCGGGGGAGAAAAUAAAAAACUCAAAUUAGUUUUGAGAUGCUGUACUCAUAGACGAGACGAGACGAGCCUUUUCUCUCUCAGACAAGUUCUUCAUACUUGAUAUAGGAAUAUUUAAACGGUUGAACUUCUAACCAAAAUAACAGCUAUCGCAGUCAAAAUAGAUAACAACAAGAUCUUCAUUGGGAAGGGCAAAACUUGACGACGUCAUUUUGUUAGCGACGCAAUUUUAGUUUUGGUAACAAGAAAGGGCAAUUUUGGAUAGUUUAGUACACGACGAGAGUGGAACUCUAUUUUUUACUUGUUCGGUCUAGCAAAAGGAUCUUUCUAUCACUUUUCUACUAGGGAUGUCAGUGAGUACUGGUAUCCGAAAUUUUAUUCAAAUCUAAAUCCGAACGGAGCUGAUUUAUUUAAUACUGAACAAAUAUAAUUUCAAAUAUAGAUAUCAAAAAUAAAAAUCCAACAUAUAUUUAAUUUGAAUGUAAAUUUUAACUAUACCCGAACCCAAACUCGAGCUCGACCCGAACCCAAAUUUAUUAUACAUUAUAUAUACUAUGCAUAUAAAAAUUUAAUGUUAUAUUUAAAUUUAUUUUUUAAAAUUUUAAAUUGAAUAUAAUAUAUUUUGAGAUAUUGAAAAGAGAAUUGUUUGGGAUUUGAAUUUUUGGUUGGAUUCGGAUUUGAAUAUGAUUUUUUAAAAUCCAUCAGGUUCGAGUUUUGGGUUUGGAGUCGGUUUCAGGUUCAGAUUUUUGAAAGAUUUUUGAAAAUCUACCCCGAAUCCGACCGGUUGACAUCCCUAGUUUCUACUCACAGAAAACUGAAGACUAUGAUGCAUUUCAAAAGAAAAUUGAUCUUCCCAGAGUAAUAUCCAAAGUAUGUAUGUUGUUAUCUAACUAUGCUUGAAUCCUUUUACUCUGACGAUUACACGGAACGGUUCUCUUUUGAAAGAGUGUCUACUCGUAAAACUGAGCCUGUUCUAGUGCCGACUUCAGGCCAAUAUUUUCUCCUACUUCGCUCCAUCUAUUUAUUACCGUUCACCUUGAAAAAAAAAAAAAAAAGAAAAAAAAAAAGAAGAAGAAGCAGCAGCAAUACUGCCGUUAUGAUACCAGCACAUGCAACAGAGAGAAACUCAUAUAAUAUUACAAGCAGCUCCUCGAAAGCAGAUACUCCUAUAAAAGCAAACAUUCGGGCGAACUUGUACCGUCAGCAGAUUCGUCGAGCAUAGCGAUAACCAGCACACGCACGCCCAUGAAUGUUCUCGCCGACAUCCAUUUUCAUCAAUAGGCUAGACGAGUCUGCAAACCUCUAGGCGCUUCUGAUACAAGAAGAGCAUGUAAAAGUUUAUUGAUAGAUAGAUCACCAGCGAAAACGUAGCCCCGCUUACUGACGGUUGUUUUUGCGAGCUAUCUCCCGAGCCAUUUCGCGAAGUUCUUCCGGUGAUGGAGGGCGAGGACCCUCGGGAGGGUAAACCACGUAAGGACGCUGCCAAGGAGGAUCAGUGAUCAUGCCCAUAAGUCAAAGAGCUGAACUCUCCGUUUAAGUUGAAUUAAUAGCGAGACAAGGAGGAUUUCAGUGAAAACAGAAAGAUGAAAAUGUUUACUGUAAAGAAAGAAGUCAAAUAGAAGUUAUCGAGCACAAGAACGACCUAUGAUUCUGAAAAGCCUACAGCUCAGGUUAAGAACAACUUAAAAUGAAAUGUAAAAUUUGAAAUUUGGGUGAGUAGGAAAAGAAAAUAAUAAUAUCAUCGAGUCCGUGUGACAAUUUUCCACAGAAUGCAAGCAAUAAGUUGGUCAUGACCCUGUUGCACCAACCUCUGGUUAGAAGUGACUCCAAAGAAAUUUGCUUAAUCUCAGUCCCAAAAAGGGUAUUCGCAUCAUAAAUUCGUUAGUGUAGUAGAGUGGAGUGAACAUAGAAACUAGUUAAAAAACUUGGCAUACACUUUAGGCAGAGUUAUACACUGGAACAGCAAACAAACAAGUAAAUGACAAAUGGGGUAAUUUCUUUAAUCUGCCUUUUACUUAUAUGUAGAGGAGAGUUACGAUGAAACGUUCUAAUUGGUGUCGGUAUCUUGACAUGGCUCUGCAAAUGAGAAAAUGUAAUAAUGCCAUUAUAGAUGUUUACUUCAAUGAAAUUACUAAAAUCCACCAAAUUGAAUAUAGAUCGAGAGUAUAUGCCUUAUCUUCUAUCUAUCAAGUACUACAGAAGAAACAAUGUGUAAAUCGCACAAUAAGGCCUUCGGUCUGGGUUUGCACUUCUCAAAGCACCUAUUUUUAUGCUUUCGAAGGCCCAAAAAGGCAAAAGCGCUUACAAUUUUUCCUCCAAUCCUAUAAAAUUGCAAUGGAAACCAACACCGGAGAAGCAUGUAACCACAUGAUUUGCGCACUCUGGUCUAGUUUGAAAGAGUUCCAGUGAAGAUUCACAAAAGAAUUCACCCAUUAGAAAGAGCUGUAAAUUCCAUUAAUUCAUGCAGUGGCUGCCUUGUUACCCUAUUUUCAAAAAAUGAACUAACUAAUUUGUUAAAGCAACCAACCAAAUGACACUAUGGGGGUUCAAAAUGAGGAUCGGAAUGGCGAAAACACAGUAAGCUUCGCAUAGGCCUCUACUAGUUAUGUUCUUCAUUGAUACCUUCUCAAAGCCCUAGAUCUUCACAGCAUAUCCUCAGAUUACUCAAUUCGUACACUCCCUUUGCAGAGUAAAUAGGUGCUUAAUAGAAUCACAUACGAGUAAACUCAAAUCUCAAGAACACAAUCGACCCAAACCUCAUAAACCCUAAGCCAGUUUACUGGAAAAUUCCCCAAAAUUCGAGACGAAUCGCCAUAAAAGUAACAACAUUUAGGGCUUGUUUGGUUCAUCCAUUUUGGGUAUGGAAUGGAAAUCGGUUUGAUCAAAUUCGGUUAAUUUUGUUUGGUUCGCAUAAAUCGGUUUGGGAUUCCUAUUCCGGACUGGAAUGGGAAUGGCCCAUUAGCCUUCAACUUGAUUCCGGUCUUCUAGCCUGGAUUGAAAUUUUAUUCCGAGAGCCCACUAGAUUCUCGAAGCCCAUGUGACCAUCUCACCCUCCUUCUCUUCACCCCUUUCUCAUCAAAAAAAAAAAAACCUAUCAUCUCUCAAAACCCUAUUCCUAACCCACAUCAAUAAAAAUUUUUAAAAAUAAAUUUGAUAUUUUUUUUGGAAAACUUAUUAGAGAAUAAUAUUAUAUUUUUCAUAAAUUUUAAAUAAUAUAAAUUUAUAUUUGAGAGUAAAAUUAGUAUUAUAGUAUCCUAUAAUUUUUUUAGUUUAUACGAACCAAACAAUGAAAUGUAAAUAACUCAUUCCAAUUCCCAAUCCACAAAUAAACCAAACGUCUUGGGGGAGUGGGCCAUUCCAAUUACCAUUCCAAUUCAUUUUCAUUCCAUUAUCCAUUUCAAUUCCACCCUUGAACCAAACAAGCCCUUAGGGUUUCAU